rnacentral:lncRNA from 1 species
UGUGGACUAAAAAAGUCCAUCAAUAUUAUUACAUUUGCUGUAUUCUGCAACAGUUUCAAGCAGAAAAUUCCCUAGUUAUAGCAUCAACAUCCAUUUUCUUUAACCCCUUCGCUAUCUUUUUGGCUUUCAGGUCACUCAGCCGAUAAAUCAAAACCAGUCUACCAUCCUUGAUUUCCCGUUCAAGUUCUUUCUCAAUCUAAUCUCCCUUACCAGCUCUCGAGCUCUUCUUCAGAGACAUGCAUGUUAAAAAUAUUCUUUCCUCUUUACACUCUUCUACGGAGAUUAAAAGGGUAUUGCCACACCAACACUGAGCAAUCAUGGUCGUUGUUUCCUCUGAGUUGAAUGCUAAGUUAGACCAAAUGAAAGUACAGUCAUGUCAAAAAGGCAAGGAACUUGAUACAAAUGAAGGAGGGUUUGGUUUUUUCAUGCCGAAAAAUGAGAAUAAUGAUUCAUUUGAUAAUCCUGUAUUUUUUUUUUUUUUGUAUUAAAUAUGUAUAAAUCAUAAAAAUUACCUUCUUACAAUUUAUGAUAUGUUAUAUAUAUUUUAUUUUUAUCAAACUCGUAUAUAAUUUUAUUAAAAUUUUAAAUUGUAUUAUUUUUAUAUUUUUUAUUCCAUUUUUAUAACAUAUAAUUAUAUUAUGUUUAAAAUUUUUAAAUCUAGUAAAAUCUCGUCGAUGUUCAAUAUAUAAAAAAUAACGUGAUAAACAAAUUUUUAUCAAGCUGUUGGCUAUGCCGGCAUCCCCCUGACGAUAGAUCUUCUGCCAAAUGUACGAAUCAAGCCAUGUUCCAAUUGUAUGUUUCAGGGUUCCUUUUUUUUCAAAAUAAUUAUAAUUCUCUCCUAGUUAUAUGUGAGACAAAUGUAUAUGAUAAACAGAUAACUUGUUUCCCUAAGAAACGUCCUUUUACCUUCUUUGAAAAAAAGAAAGAAAAAUGUAUUGGUGUCUGCCCUGUAGUAGCUGAGCUGUUGAAGAAGAGAGGGUUGACUUCGCCACUGUAUCAAAGGGUUUUCCUGUGGCGGAGCGUUACUGAUCGAAACCAUGCAUGUGACCUAUAUGCCCUACCUAACACACUCUCUUUGUUUUUUCUUAUUCUUUUUUGUCGGAUGGAACCUAAAACAAAUUUGAUUUGAUGCAACCCGAAGUUUCCAUCUAAGUUGGAAAUAAUCAUAUAUAAUUAAUACGUAACAAACUAAUAAAUUGGGUUAAGGGCUUGGCUUAACACAAAUAUAAAAUCAUGAAAUUUUGAAGUUUCAAAUUCAAGUUUCGUUAUGAAUAAAUUUGAUCAAAAUUUAUGUUAGAUGUAUUAGUUAUAUGUUAAUUAAUUGAUUAGUGAUCUAAUUCAUUAGUUUUUGUAUAUAAUAUUUAAAUAUAAUUGUAAUUUUUUAAUUUUUAAUUGAUCUUUGAAUCCUCUAUUUUAAUAUUUAUUUUAUUCAAAAAGAUAUUACUAUAUAAACUUCAAGUUUUCAACUCUAAUAACGUGUCAAUUAAUACAAAAUUCAAUUAGCAAUAUGGUUGUAAAUUUUUAUAGUAUCAUUUCAUAAAAAACUAAUAAAUUGGAGAUUGCUGUUGUGAAUUAUUCAUCAAUCUUCAUUUUUCAAAGAAAUAUAAAUAUAUGUUAUAUGUAUACAUCUUUCAACAUGUUUCUAAAAUUAUAAUGUUCUUAUUUUAAAUUUACUUUUAAUAUCUUAAUUCUUAAACAUUGGACACCAAGAUCUCUUUAGACUGUUUCGGGGUUUUCAUCUUCAAUAUUGUUGGUUUUUAAUUAGUGCGGUUUUCUUUACUUCCCUUUGGGCUAACAAUUCAUAAGGUCCACUGGAUCUUAAAACAGAAUUCUUAUUUUGGGCUACAGGUCAUGUUCUCUUUCUUAGCACUGAGCAUUUAAUCAAUCGGCAGGCAUACAUAUAAUAUAUGAAAGAUCAAUUUAUAUUAGUAUAAAAUUUUUUUAAUUAUUAAUUUCAAUUAAUUUUAUUUUUUAAGUACUAAUUUAUACAUUUUAUCAAAAUUCAGGUAUCCAAAAAUAUAAUUAACUCUUAAAAAAUCAAUUAAUUUUCAUACUUGGAAAAAUCUUGACGUUAUAUAUAGAUAUUAAUGCCACCUAAGAAAUGCGAAUGCGCCUAGCUUUUAUAUAUUGUUAAUUAUUUAUAUAUAAAUAUAUGCAUGUAUAUUUGAAUGAUUCGAAAGUAUGGAUAGCCUGAUAAGUCUCUUUCCAUGGAUCACUUCUAGCUACAAAAAUAUUAUCAUAAUUGAUUUAAUUAAUUGGUGUGACAAUUAUGGAUUGAUAAAACAAAAUUAUCUAGUUUUAGUUGUCUAUCUGAUAAAGCUUUCAUAGUAAAACAUGAUGCCAUAGCCGACUUUGUGAUUUUUUAGGCAUUAAUUAAAUGCAAAUUGAUCAACGAAAGGGGUCUGAAAAUCAUAUCAGCAAAAGGACCCGUGACAUUAUAGAAUUUCUCAGUUUUCACUAGGUAUUUGGUGGAGGUGACUUUGAGUUUCAAGCUUAUCCCUUGUGCAGAUGAAAUUACUGAUGACUGAUGAAUACAGGUGGCAAUGGAUGUGAUAAGAUAUUUUGGAUUCACACUAUUUUAAAUUUGAAUUUUUUUGGGUUUGAUUCACUUUGAAUUAACUUUUUUAUUCUAAUUGGAUUUAAGUUUAGAUUUGGAUUAGCUUAGGUGAUUUUUUAGAUUUUAAGUAUAAUGUAAUAAUUUUAACAUACUUUUAAGAUUUGAGUUUGAUUCAAGACCAAAUUAUUCGUAUUAAGUUUUAAGUAAUUUUGCAUUUAAAUCAUUUUAAUUUUGAGUUUUUUUGAAUUUAAAUAUUUAAUUUUUUUUAAAAAAUUAAAUUAAGUUGAUUUUGGAUUUGGACUUUUUCAAGUGAACAUUCAUAUUCGAAUUUUAUUUUCCGGUUUUAUUGACGAGGAAACUAGAAAAUAAGACAGUUCAAUGGUGUGUCUUCUUCACAUAGCAAUGCUAGUAGAUUUUAUUUCUUUUAACAGCCGAAAAAAAAAACUGUAUAGCAGAAUAUUUAUUUCCUAUUCAAAAUAGAGCACGACCACUCAAAAUUUGUGGGCCUCAAUCACCUCAAUUUCAAUAUGGGAUGCAAUGUUGUGCAUUCCAGCAAAAUUGGCAGAGCAAAUGAAGCAUGCAGAACAAUAUAUGUUAAGGUCAAUACAUCUAAUUUUAUCUAGAUCGAUUUAGUUUUAUUUGAUUUUUAUAUUUAAUUUAAAUAAUUCAAUUUGAUUCAAUUUAAAUGUUUUAAUUAGAUUGACUCAUUAAAAUCUUAUUUUGGAUUAAUUACCAAAUUCUUCAAUUUUAUUUGGAUCAAGGCUCAAUCUAAUCGGAAUUAAUUCAAAAUUUAGUUAUUUGGGCUUGCAGUCCUAAUAAAUGCCAAAACUUCAAUUUCAAGUCCAAAUUAAAUUUCAAAACCCAAUUUUAUUUUUAUUGUUUUAAUUUCUUUAUUUAUUGAAUUAAUUAAAAAAUGACAAAAAUGACAAAAAUACAAAGGCAAAUGCAAGAAAACAAAAAAACACAACAUGAAGAAGUGGCUAGCAACUUGCUGCCAAAAUAGGCCAAAAUUCUCAAGAGUUUUAUCUCCAUUACCCUGCCAUACUGAAAAACUUUAGACUAUUGUUACAAAUCACUAGAUAAAAACCAAGGAUGAAAAUACACCAAAGAGGGGGAAAAGGGAAGUUCCAGCAUCCAUUUCUUUGCACGCACUAGGCUAGCCCUUUUUCAACACCCAACAACUCGCCUUCAUCAACUUAAGAACCCAUUCGAGGAUCUCUUUCCCCUUUUUGAGGUGCACCCCUACUAGCACCAAGGCCCAACCACCCUAGUAGCUAUUUUACCAAGUUUCAUAUACUAAACCACCAUAGCCCUAUAAUCAUUCUUGUCGAUUGCCAAACCCAAAAAAAAAAAAAUCCCAUCACGCCUCUUUACAAACUCCAUUAACUAGCUGCCACCCAAAACAGUCUACAACCUCACUGCUUUUAACCUCAAUCAUAAAAUCCCAUUCCCACCAUCUAGUAUCUUCCCAACCGAAACCUUUGUCCACCCUCUAGCCCUGUUCAUGCACCAUCUCUCCACCACAAUCAACCUCCCCCCAUUCGACCACCAAACACCCACUACUAAGCCAAAUCCAUGCCCCAACAAUAGAGUUACAGAAAUAGUGCAUAGCCAACUGAACACCCAAUUCAACCUUUUAGCCACAUUGCCCCUAUUUCAAACCCUAAAUCUAAUACCAUAACCAUCAAAACCUCUAUAAAAAAAAAAAAACCUUGCAUUUUGAGCCUCUGACUCACUAACUAGUACCUACCACAAGCACCCAUUAAAAAAACUAAAAAGUCCUCCACCACUGUUGGCCAAAACACUAACUGAAAAAAAAAAACCACUGCCAAGCUAAAAAAUCAUAUAUAAAAGAAGUAAAAAGCCACAUCCCUUAGAAGGGGAGAAGCAAUGCCAAAAGCAAAGAAAAUAAAAAAAACCCAAAAAAUAAAAAAAAUAAACAGAUGGAGAAAAAGAGUUUCGUUUUGGAUGGUUUUAGGGGAGUUUUGGGCUAGGUUUUUCUUGGAGAAAGAAGUCAUUAGGAAGGGAAACACAUACUAGAAGAAGAGCUUGGUAUGAAUAGUAAAGGCAGUAGUUUUUAGAGGUUGGAAUUGUGACAUUUAGGGUUAGAUCUAGGGAUCUAGGACAAGUUUUAAGUCUAGAAAUGAGUGGAAGAAAGAAAGAAGGGUUUCGGGUGGAUUUUAGGGUAGAUCCGCUAUCGGUAAUUGAUGGCCAAAAUCUAGGUUUGAAGGUGACCAGUCCUUUAGUGGUUUUUAUAAGAGAGUUUGGAGCUUUUUUUUUUUUUUUGAAAAAAGGGUUUGAAAUGAAAAAAAAAAAUUUAGUAUUUAUAAGAAGAACAAAAAAAAAAAAAAUACCAGCUGACCUGUGUGUGGACCGAACCCGACCUAAGGUCGGCACACUUGAUCCAAUCUGAUGCUAGUCAACUGCCUUGAAUCGAUCCAGCUAUGAACCAAUUUGAUUGAACCUGCUAAACCAUCUUCAGCUACUGAAUUGUGUCUGAACCGAACUAAAUUAUUCUAAACUAUUGACCAACUUUGACCAAACUUUUUUUGAUAUUUUUUUAUUAUCUCUUAUAUAUAUUUUUGCUAGAUCAUUUAUUUGUUUAUGCAUAUUUAAAAUUUAAUUUUUGUUAAAUAAAUAUAUUUUUUAAAAAAAGAGAAGUGAUUUUUUUAAAUUAUAAUUUUUUAAAACAAAAAUGAAAAUCUUUCGAAGAUAAGAUAUUAAAGAAAUUCGAGUAGUAAUUCUUUAAAAAUCUCUAGGUAAGAAUAUUUUUCUAAAAUGCUACCAAAAUACUAAAGUAUUUAGAAAUGUAUUUAAUACAUAAAAGUUAUCAUUUAUUUAUUUUUUGAAUUACAAAUUAAAAAAAAUACAUGACAAAAUAAAAGAUUUUUUAAUAUAGAUAGAAGGUUAUAUAUAAUAAUGCAUAAGUAUUAAUAGCAUCAAUUAAUUAAAAGUAUGAGUUUCAAAUGAGGGGACUUUGAGAAGUUCAAGUAAUGAUUCGCGAGAAUUCCUUAGGUGAAAAAAAGUUUUGAAAAAUAUUACCAAAGUAUUGUGAUAUUUAGAAUGAUUUUCAAUACAAAAAACUCUCGUUUGCUUUUCAUUUCAAAAAAUGAACUUUCAUGCAAUGGCAUCACGAGUUAAUUCAUGUGCAUUAAAUUCUAAAAAGAAAUUAUAGACAUUAUAUUUUAGAAAAUUUUCGAUAAAGAUUUUUCAUUUUUUGAUAAAUAGAAUAAGAAAUAAAUGUUAAGAAAAUAAUUAUUUGAAUUAAAUUAUAGAUAUCAUAUUUUACAAUAUGCUUGGUAAAUAUAAAUAUUAAAGAUAAAUUUAAAUCGCUGAGGAUAGAAUUUUUGAGAAUUUCGAGUAGUAAUUCUUAAGAAUUCAUUGGAUGAGAAAGUUCCUCUUAAUAUUGCUAAAGUAUUAGAAUAUUUUUAGGAUUUUUCAAUGUGCAAGGUUCUUAUUUUUUUUUUAUGAAAAUAAUUAAAAAUAAAAAUAUGUUUUUCAUUACAAUAAAGAAAAUUAAGAAAAAUAUUUUUUUAAAUACUAAAAUUAAGACCUUUUUGUGAAAAUUAAAAGAUAACACAUAAUUAAUUGGUACCUUUAUUUUAAUGGGCAUUGUGGGGUGUUAAUCAUUCCUUAUUUGAAAUCUCGAACCCAAACUGUUUUCGCAGACCCAAAAAUUAUUUUCUUAAUAAAUUUUAAGAUUUUAUCAAUUUUAAGUCCUAAUUAAAUUUCAAAACUCAAAUUUAUUUUUAUUGUUUUCUUUUUGUUAUUGUUUUAAUUUCUUUAUUUAUUAAGUUAAUUAAAAAAUGACAAAAAAAAAAAACAAAGGCAAAUGCAAGAAAACAAAAAAAAAACACAAAACAUGAAGAAGUGUUUCGUAACUUGCUGUCAUAGUAGGCCAAAUUCUCAAGAGUUUUAGCUCCACGACCCUACCAUACUAAAAAACUUUGGACUGUUAUUACAAAUCACUAGAUAAAAACUAAAGAUGAAAAUACACCAAAAGGGGAGGGGGGAAGUUUCAACAUCCAUUUCUUUGUACGCACUAGGCCAGCCUCUCUUCAAUACCCAACAACCCACCUUCAUCAGCCUAAGAACCCACUCGAGGAUCCCUUCCCCCUUUUAGAGCUAUAUCCCUAUCAGUACCAAGGCCAAGCCACCUUAGUAGCUAUUUGGCCAAGCCACCUUAGCAGCUAUUUUGCCAAGCCUCAUUUGUUGAACCACCAUAGCCCUAUAACCAUCUCCGUCCAUUGCCAAACCUAAAAGAAAAAUCCUAUCAUGCGCAUUUGCAAACUCCAUCAACCAGUUGCCACCCAAAACAGUCCACCAACCUCACUGCCUUUAACCCCAGUCACAAAAUCCUAUUCCCACCAUCGAGCAUCCUCCCAAACGAAACCUUUGGCCACCCUCUAACCCUGUUCACACACCAUCUUUCUGCCAUAAUUGGCCUCCCUUCACUCGACCACCAAACAUCCAUUGCUAAGCCAAAUCCAUGCCUCAACAAUAGAAUUAUAAAAAUAGUGUAUAGCGAACUGAAAACACCCAAUUCAACUUUCUUACCACACUGCCCAUGUUUUGAAUCCUAAAUCGAAUGCCAUGACCACCAAACCUCUAUAAAAAAAAAAAGUCCAUCUCGAACCUUUAACCUACUAGUACCUACCAUAAGCACCCAUCAAAAAAACUAAAAGAUCCCCCACCAUAGUUGGCCAAAACACUCAUUAGUAAAAAAAAUAAAUAAAUAAACACCCACUACCAAGCUUAAAAAUCAUACACAAGAAAAAGUAAAAACCACAUCCACUAAAAGGGGAGAAACAAUGCCAAGAGCAAAGAAAACCCAAAAAAUAAAAAAAAGAGCAAAUAGAGGGAGAAAAAAAGUUUCAUUUUAAGUAGUUCUAAGGGAGUUUCGAGCUAGGUUUUUCUUAGAGAGAGAGGUCAUGAAGAAGGGAAACACAUACUAGAAGAAAAGCUUGGUAUGAGCAGUGGAGGUAGUAGUUUUUUAAAGUUGGAACAGUGACCUUUAGGCUCGGAUCCAAUGAUUUAGGAUGAGUUUUAACAAAAAACUAAGUCUAGAAAUGAGAGGAGGAAGGGAAGAGGGGUUUCUGGGUGGAUUAUGGGAUAGAUUCGCUAUCGACAAUUAGUAACUAGCGACCAAAAUCUAGGUUUGAAAGUGACUAGUCUUUUAGUGGUUUUUUUUAGAGAGUUUGGAGCAUUUUUUUUAAAAAGGGGCUUGAAAUGAAGUAAAAAAAAAUUAGUAUUUAUAAGGAGAACAAAAAAAAAAAAACCAACUGACCCGUAUAUGGACCCGACUCGACCAAAGGUCAGCACGCCUGAUCCAAUCCAACACCAAUCAACUACCUUGAAUUGAUCUAGCUAUGAAUUGAUUUGAUUGAACUCGUCAAACUAUCUUCAGCUGUUGAAUCAGGUUUGAACUGGACUGAUCAUUGACCAACUUUAACCAAACUUUUUUUGUUGGUAUUUGUUUUAUUAUCUCCUUUUUAUAUAUUUUUGUUAGAUCAUUUAUUUGUUUAUGCAUAUAUUUUAAAAAAAUGAUUUUUUUAAAUUAUAAUUUUUUAAAACAAAAAUGAAAAUCUUUCGAUGUUGAGAUAUUAAAGAAAUCUGACUAGUGAUUCUCUAAAAAUCUUUAUGUAAGACUAUUUUUCUAAAAUAUUACCAAAGUAUUAGAGUAUUUAGAAAUAUAUUUAAUACAAAAAAGUUUUCAUUUAUUUAUUUUUUGAAUUAAAAAUAAAAAAAAUACAUGACAAAAUAAAAGAUUUUUUUAAUAUAGAUAUAAGGUUACAUAUAAUAAUGCAUAAAUAUUAAUUGCAUCAAUUAAUUACAAGUAAAAGUUUCCAAUUAUGGAACUUUGGGAAGUCCAAGUAGUGACUGUUGAGAAUUCCUAGAUGAAAAAAUUUUUCAAAAAAUAUUACCAAAGUAUUAGGAUAUUUAAAAUGAUUUUCAAUACAAAACUCUCGUUUGCUUUUCAUUUAAAAAAAAUGAACUUUCAUGGAAUGGCAUCACGAGUUAAUCCAUGUGCAUCAAAUUUUAAAAAUAAAUGAAAUCUUCGAGGAUGAGAUCUUAAAGAAAUUCAAGUAGUGGAUUAAAUUAUAGAUAUCAUAUUUUAGAAUAAUUUUCAAUAAAGAUUUCUCAUCUUUUUGAUAAAUAGAAUAAAAAAUAAAUGUUAAGAAAAUAAUUAUCUAGGUUAAAUUAUAGCAUCAUAUUUUACAAUAUGCUUGGUAAAUAUAAAUAUUAACGAUAAAUAUGAACCGCUGAUAAUAGAAUUUUUGAGAAUUUUGAGUAUUGAUUCUUAAGAAUUCCUUAGAUGAGAAAGUUCCUUUUAACAUUACUAGAGUAUUAAAAUUUUUUUAGGGAUUUUUCAAUGUGCAAGGUUCUUAUUUAUUUUUCAAGCAAACAAUUAAAAAUAAAAAUAUGUUUUUCACUACAAUAAAGAAAAUUAAGAAAAUUAUUUUUUUAAAUACUAAAAUAAUACUUUUUUGUCAAAAUUAAAAGAUAACACAUAAUUAAUUGGUACUUUUUUUUUAGUGGGCAUUGUAGGGUGUUAAUCAUUCCAUAUAUGUAAUCAACUCCCAAACUCAAACUAUUUUUGCAAACCUAAAAAUUAUUUUUUUAAUAAAUUUUAAUUAAAUUUAAGAUUUUAUGAAAAAUAUAAACUUUAAUAAUUGGCCAAUCACAUCUAGCCAAGAAAGAUUGGUGGUGACUCCUUUUGGUUUUUUUUUUUUUAAUUCUUCUAACGGUCCUCGAAAUCAUUACGAUAGCUUGGUAACUCUACUAAGGACAUCAUUUUUUUAGAGAGUCAUGCCAAAAAAUUAAUUAUGUGUUAUCUUCAAUUUUAUUUAAUGAUCUUAAUUGGUAUUUAACUUUGAUUUUCUUCUUGAUUUUGAUUUUUUUUUUUAAAUAACAAUAGUAAAAAAAAAUUUUUAAUUAUGUUAAUGUUAUAUCCCUUCAUUCAUUGCAUUUCAUUGUAAAGAAUUUAAGAUUAGGUUUUCAAGUUAUAUCCCCUCAUUCACAUUGCACAUUUAUAUCAUGUAUGAGUUCUAUACCCAGCCUCUGUCCUUUUUAGGAGGGAGUAGAGUACUUAUACUAUUGUGAGGUCAUAACAUUUGCAAAUGGCAAACAAAAUACUCUCACUCAAAUUGAACUCUUUUCGCUUGUAGCCUAUAAUGGGUAGGGAUAAGAGUGCUUUAGUAAUCUUGCAUGGAUGUUAGUGAAAAACAAUUUAGGAGCCUUUUAGACAUAGUUAAAUCCGAACCAAGCACAUAGUAAACCAUAAGGGUCAACCCUAGGUAGAAUCAUGCCGACGAUUUCAUAAAAAUUACAUAGAUUUGGGCAUGAGAGGAACAUCCUGAUACAAUCUUUAUUUAGGUGUAGAAUAGUGCAAAUAAAACUAAAAUUUAAAAAAAAAGAAAAAAUGAGAAGUAAAAGAAAAAAAUUCUUUUAAUAAAUUUUCUUUUUAACAUAUAGUUUGAUUCAACUAGUGCUUAUUCAAAAUUUGCAUCUUUGAAAAAUAUUUUCUUAAAAAAAGACUUUUUUUAGCAUUUUCUAACAAACAAAAAUACAAAAAUAAAAUUUUUCAAAAAAAGCUUUUUUAUUAUUUCUUUAUUUACUGACCGAAUAAAAAGCAAAAGCAUGAAAAAAAUUACAAAAACAAAAGUUUCUUUAGUAUUGGUAAUCUUAGUGCUUGUUUUUCCAUAGGAAAUGUUUUCUUGAAUUUUUUUUUUCUAAAAAAAGCAAAAAUUUGUCAAAAAAAGAAACAAACAGAAAAAGGGUUUUUUUUUUUUUUUAGUUUCUUUGUUAGAUUAAUAAAAUGCAAAAGCAUGAAGAAAAGAGAGAUCUUACCUUUUUAUUUCAACCAAAAUUUUCUUUUAAAUUUAGAAUCAAGUUGUUCUGUAUUUAUUAUGUUCCCAAAUUGUAUUUUUUUUUUUUCAAGAGAAGUUUUGAAAUUGAUCAAGUUGCCUUGUAGGCCUUACAAAAAAUGAUUUGGUAAGAAGUGCAAAAAAAAAAAAAAAACAAUAAAAAAAGAUGAAAGAAAAGAAGAAAAACAUUAAUUUACUUUUUCGCAUUGCAUUUAAAAAUUUUCCUUUACUAAUUUUUUUAAGCCUUUUGUGUUUUCUUAGGUUUGUUGCAUGCAUCAUUUUUUAUAUAAAGCAUUAGAAAUGUUCAUCUUAGAUAGUCUGUCAGUGAGAUUUUUAAAUAAUUUCAAGAGUCAUGAAUAGGACCUUCUGUUAGUGGUUGUCUUGGGAAGUCAAGGAAUAGUCUAAAAAUAAGUAGUAAGAAAGAGAAGAAUAAAUGAAAAGAAUGAAAAGAAUGAAAAGAAGAAAAAAGAUAAAGAAAAAGAUAAAAAAAAUCCAUCCAUAAGAUUUUCUUUGGGGCAUAUUAUUUGAUUGGUUUAGUAUUUGUUCAAGAUUUAAGUUUUUCGGAAUUUGCAAGAAAUAGAGUUGUAUUUUGAAUUUUAUCCUUUGUAGUUCAUUUAAUCCUUUUUGUGGUUAUUUCCUUCAUGUUUCACGUUUGAAAAUAAUAACAUAGCACAUGCACUCCAUCUCAUACCCAAAUGUUAGUGUCAAUUUAAUUAGAUUUGCAUUGUACUUGCAUUGUAUCUUAUGAAUAAAAUAUGUUAGUGUAUCUCAUAUAAGUAUGUUUCAUCAAUCAUAUUCAUGCCCUUCAUUACUCAUAUAGUAUGUCAUUGUAUUUCAUACAUGUAGAUUGAUGAAUGAUAUGAUUCUAUAAGAUGUGCAUUGUACAAAUAGCAUUUCAUACAAGCACACCAUCUCUCAUAAAAUAGGACAUUGGAUUUCAUGCAUAUACAUUCACAUGAUUUCUAUUAUGCAUAUAAAGCAUUUUAUAUAAGUGUGUUUUGUCAUUCAUAUACUGGAUUAUUACAUUAUGUGUAUAUACUCAAAAAAUGAUAUGAUUCCAAUUGUACUCGCAUUAUAGAUACAUUUCAUUUCAUGUAAAUAUGUUUUGUUACUUGGUGAACAUACGUGCAAAAAAAAUGAUUUUCAUCAAACUUUAAUGGUGCAUGCAUUGCAUUUCAAUAAUGUAUGCCUUAUCUUUAUUGUACAUACAUUCAUGAAUUCAUCAUGGAAAUGCCAUGCUAUUCUUGUAUUCUCAUAAUAUCCCAUCAUUCAAUGAAUAAAAAGCACUCUUUAUGGGUGAAAAAAAAAAGGGGUCCUAAAGUUCUUAUAAGAAAAAAACCAUGACAAAGGAAAGUUUGAUAAAACCCAAUUUUUUCAAACUAUUUUUUUUUCAUUUGAGUUUGGUAAGAGUAUCAAAAGGUUAAAUAUAAGAGAUGAUUGAGCAUCUCGAAGUGAAUAAGCCCAAGAUGAAAGAUAACAUUGUGGACAUGAAAAACAUGGUUAAUGAUCACAAACAAUUUGUAGCCUUUCUAGCUUUGUACCAAAAUUUGAAAGUAUAUUGUUGUUUCUUAAGAAAGAAUGGCUUUUAAUUUUUGGAUUUUUGUAAAUGAUAACGUAUUCAUUGAUUAGAUUUGAUUUAUGAAUUUUUUAUAUAUAUUUUCUAACUUUUAUGUGAUAUAAAUUUUUUUAAAAAAAUUGAUUUGCAAUUGUUUGAAAAUAAAGUCCCAUUUAAGUAGCUUACAAGAUCAUUAAAUUUUUUUUUUGAAACAAUAGGUCUUUUCAAAGGGAAAUAUAUGUUUUUUAAAUGGUGAGAAUCUCAAAGUAAUUGAUGAUUACUAUUAAAAAAUAAAUUCAUCUAACACGUUUACACCUUUCCUUCACCGUUCCUAUGUUUCAAUCCUUUUGAAUAAUUAAGGGACAUAAACUUCAACUUGCAAACCUUGUCAUUAUUUGAGAUAAUAAUCUUUUCUUCAGCAAUGAACAAAAUAGGCCAAUUUUGAAAAUUCAUUUUGAAUUUAAAAAAUCAAGUAAAAUACACUUUCAAAUUUUGAAUUAGUAAUUCAAUGUGUGUUAAAAUUUGUCAAUAUGAUUGAACCAUCCAUGCUUUUUCAAUGACCAUAGACACAAAAAUGCUUAAACUUUCUCUCUCAAGUAGCCCUUGUUUCACGUCUUAAGGUACAUUGACUUAAAGAAGCAAAAUUUCUUUUUGAAGACAAUUUGUUUUAUACCUUAAUAUCUUUUCCCUUCAUUUAAACAAUUUAGAACCAAAAAGAGCUUUUUUGUGAACUGUGUGAUCAAAUUUGGAACAUCCCAUAUAACUUGAUUUUCACCAUCGUAGGAACCUUGAAUGGAAAAUAAGAUGGGGCAUUUGUCACACAAAAACAAUUGAUGGUUAUAUCAUGCAUAAAAAAAGAAAAAAAAAACUUUUUACCUUUUUUUCCCUUAUUCAAUAAUUUGCUUUCCAAUCUAAAUGACCAUGUUUGAAUGAUGAAUGACUAUCUUUCUCUAUCCUUCACAUAUAGAAAAAUUAUUAAUUUGCUACCAAUUUAAGCCUAUUAAAUUUCUUGUUCCAAAAUGAACUCCGGCCAAGAAUCACCUUUUACACUAGGGGCAAAAUAGGGACAUCUUCAAGGAUCAUGAGUAAUAGAGCCCAACUUCAAAGAAAGUAUUUAAUUUUAAGAGCAUAUAACAUGCACCUUAGAGAUGAGAAUCUAGGGUAAAAAGUGAAUGAAGCUUCAGUUAGAAUCUCAAGUAAAAAAGAAGAUAGAAUUCAAGAAAGUAAAAUGUUAAAGUUGAAGUCAAAUGUUUCUAAAAAAAGAAAUAGCAAAGAAAGAAAGACUUGCACAUUAGAGAUGAGAGUUUGGGAUAAAAAAAUGAAUGAAGCUUCAAUUAGAAUAUCCAGUAAAAAAGAAGAUAGAAUUCAAGAAAGUAGCAUACUAAAAUUGAAGUCAAAUGUUUUAAAAAAAAGUGCAAAAAAAGAAAGAUACGCACCUUGGAGAUGAUAAUCUAGGGUAAAAAGUGAAUGAAGCUUUAGUUAGAAUCCUAGGUAAAAAAAAAAGAAGAUAGAAUUCAAGAAAGUAGAAUGUUAAAGUUGAAGUCAAGUGUUUCCUAAAAAGAACGAGCAAAGAAAGAAAGACACAUGAUUUUUCAUCUAGAAAAUGCUCUAUAAGAUCCUUGGCCUAAUUACCCUGAAUGACAUACUUUAAGCCUAUUUAUCCAUUCUUUCAAAACACAAAACCUUGGCCUAUAUUAUAUACCUUAAAGAGUCUCUUUUGAUUAAAUGUGAACACUUGAAUUGAAUAUCUAUGUCCUGGAAAAUUUAUAUAUACCUAUUAUUAAUUGGCAAGAUUUUAUCAAGUUCCUCAUUGUUAGAAAAUAUAGCUUUAAGAUGUAAGCCUAAAAUGGGCAGUUUGGAGCUAGAAUCACUCUUAAGUCAUCAAGAGAAUUUUAGAGUUUCAUGGUUCUAUCCAGAAUAGAAAGUCAUGAUGCAAAACCUUUUGAAAGAUCGAUACCCAUUAAAGACUUUGCAUUUCACCAAAUACUAAAAACAAAAAACCUAGCCUUUUUCUCAUUCCAAAUCUUUUUCAAAAAUUAAUGACUAGUUUUGAUGCACAUUGAAAUAUCAUGUUAAGCCAUGCUUUAUUUCAAUAAAAUAAAAGUGUUUUAGAAAAAAUAUCUCUUUAGUGAGCCCAAGUGUAAUCUUUGUAACUCUUAUCAAGCCUUUCUUAAGAUCUGCCCAUGAGUGAACAGAAUUGAAUUGUCAAUUACUCCAUCCACAAGCAUUCCAAAUAGUAAUCAUCAAUUUUCAAAGGAUUUGAAAGUUAAGUUUUUAAAUUUUCUCAUUGAUUACAAAAAUACUUUAUGUGGGAUAAUUUUGUGAUCAUUUUGGAAAAGUUUAGAGAUUAUUUGAGCAUCUUAUAUAGAAUAUUGAGAUAAUUUUUUAUGAAAAGUAAACAUUAAAAUUUGAAUAGAGGUUUUUUUGAAUAAAAAAAGAGUCUUUGUAUUUGCAUCACUUGCAUUCACAUUCAUAUUCAUAUCAUGAGAAAGACAUUUGAUCUGUAUGCUACAAAAAAAUUGCAUUUGCAUCACUUACAUAUGCAUUAUAAGAAAGACAUGUGAUUUGCAUGCUACAAAAAAAAUGCAUUUGCGUAACUUGAAUUACAUCAUAAGAAAGACAUUUGAUCUGUAUAUUGUAAAAAACAAAAUACAUUCACAUUUGCAUCACUUACAUUCGCAUUCGUAUCUACAUCAUGAGAAAGGCAUUCACAGUUGCAUCACUUUUAUCUAUAUCAUGAGAAAGACAUUCACAUUUACAUCAAUGGCAUUUGCAUUACAACAAAGACACUCACAUUCACAUUUGCAUUUGCAUUAUUGCAUCUGCAUCAUAAAAAAAAAUAUUUAUAGGUUUUAUCUACAUGAAAAGAAUAUUGGCAUCUGCAUUAUGAAAAGGUCGUAUGUAUUUUCGUCAAGCAUUUGCAUUUGUGUCAUUUUGAUUGGAAAUAUACAUUUGUGUCAUGAUUGCCUCUGUUAAAAAAAAAAAAUUUUGAGAAAAGAGUUAAAAAAAAGAAUAACAAUCUCUUAGUUCAAGAAAUAAAAAAAAGUAAAGUCUACCAAGAAAAAUGAUAGAAAUUUGAAGAAAAAAAAAGAAAGAAAAAAGAAAAAAAAAAGAAAAGCUGAAUGUGGCUAUAGGGUGAAAACCUUGCAAAAGGGCAAUUUAGAGUAAACUUAGAAGGUCUUAAAGCCAUUCUUGAUGUUAAGAUAAGAUGCCAACUAAAGGCGACCUAUACCCUUCAAAAGAUCUAAAGACUUCAAGACCCUAAAAGCUUGAAAUGCAUAAAAAAAUACUGAUUUUGAAAAUUUGAACCUUUUUGCCUCUUCACCAAAUGACCUUUCCAAAAUUUUGAACCCAUCACAGCUAGCCCUAUCAUUUAUCAAAAUGCCACAACAUGUUGGAUUUUCAAGAGAUUCAUGUUUUAGACAAAUUUAUGUCUUGUUUGUGAGCUUAUAUGGAAAAGUAUACACCCAUUUUUACCCUAUUUAGGUGGUGAAACCUACUAAUACCUUUUAAUCCAUUUGAAAAAAAAAUUAUCACCUUUUUCAUUUCUAAUAGGGAACACUAAUUCCUAAGAAACUCUUAAAAUCACAUUUGUUCAGAUAUUUUAUUCUUUUUGACUAAGGAAUUUAAUUAUGUGGAAUAAAUUUUGUUAACCUUUUUUGAAAAUUUAUGAAUAACCAGUCACAUUUUUUGUGAAAAAUAAAGAAAUCAUACUUGAUAAAUUAUUGAAAUGGUGAGAAUCUUUAGACUAGUUCAGAUUCAAGAAAGCAAAAUAAUUGAGGGAUUAAUGUUGUUGAAAAAGAAAAAAAAAAGGAAAAAUGUUCUUUGAGAAUGGUGGGGUAUCUUUUUGCUUUCACAACCAAGUUCAAAACACAUAUUGCAAGUUGCAUAUUAUGUGUUAAAAAAAAAAUGAAAAGGAAAACAUGUUGAAAGGAAAAUCAAAAAGCUUGUUGGGAAAGUAAAAAAAGCAAAAAUUGGUAAAUAGACCACAAUGAAAAUAAGUGAAGGCAUAAAGAAAAGAACAUAAGAAAAUAGAAAAGUAACCCUCUCAUGAAGAAGUUGAAAAGCUAAUUUGAUGAGUAAAGAGAAGCUAGCAAAAAUAAAAUCUAAGAGAAAAAAUAUGAUGUCAAAAAAGAUCUUUACAUGUACAUCCUCAUGUUUGCAUUUGCAUUAUGAAAAAGGUAUUUAUACUUGCAUCAUUGCAAUACACCUAUAUAACUAGGAUAGAAAUUUACAUUUGUAUAAAACAUUUGCAUCAGGAAAAACACAUUUACAUUUGCAUUUGAAAUGAGUCAUUUGCAUAUUUGCAUAAAAUAGUCAUUGGCAUCUUUUCAUGAAGUAAAGUUUCUUUCUGCGUGAUCAUUUUAAUAGUCUUUUUGCAUCAUGAUUAUGUCUGCCAAAUUUUGGGAACACUUUUGAAAGAUAAAAUUGAAAUAUGGGGUAGUUUCAAAUCUAAAAGAUAAGAUGUGUUGAAACAAAAAGGGGAAAAACUUUUGAAAUAAAAAGUGAAAAUUUGAAAGUGAAAAAAUUUCAAGGAGAUUAGGAUUAAAAGAAUAAGUACAUGAUUUCCUAGACCUUUGAGCAAAAUUUUAAAUUUCUAAAUGAUCUCUAAGACCUUCAAGUAAAGAUUCAAACAAUUUGUAAGACCUCUAGGCAGAACAUUUAAAUUUUUAAGUUUCAAUGCCUCUAAUUAGAGGAGUUAUCACAAAUGUCAAGAUCCGUAAGACCUCCAGGCAGAAUGUUUAAAUUUUAAAGUUUUAAUGCCUCUGAUUGAGGAGCUUUCGCAAAUGUCAAGAUUUGUAAGACCUUUGGGCCAAAUGCUUAAAUUUCAAAGUUCAAUACUUUUGAUCAGAUGAGCAUUCAUGUAUUUCAAUAUUGUAAGACCUCAGAGCAUAAUUUUUAAGACCUCUAGGCAAAACAUUUUAAAUUUUCAAAGUUUUAAUGCCUUUGAUUAUAAGCACUUUCAUAAAUGUUGAGAUUUGUAAGACCUCUGAGCAUAAUCUAUAAGUCUUUCGAUAGUAUUCAUAAGUCUUCCAAACUGAAUCUAUUUUUGUUUUGAUAUUUACAAGACCUCUAAACAUGAUCUUUUAUUUUAUUUUCAAAAGUUAUUUAGAAGAGUUUUUAAAUUUGUUUUCAAAUGGUCAAAAUAAAAAAAAAACCAAAAUAAAAAAAAAUCAAGAAAAAAACAUAAAAAAAAAACUAUGAAUCGUUAAUCAGGACAAAAUUAUUGUAUAUAUCUUUACUUUAUUCUUGAUUCUUAGUAAUAUGUAAAAAGGGAUAGCUUUAGAUAUAUAAUUUUGUCCAGAUUAAUUCAGUUUUGUUUGAUUUUUACAUUUGAUUUGAAAAUUUUAAUUUGGAUCAAUUUAAGCAUUUUAAUUAGAUAGACUCAUUUAGACCUUGUCUCGGAUUAAUUUCCAAAUCCAAUUCUAUUUGGAUCAAGGCUCAAUCUAAUUAAGAUUAAUUCAAAAUUUAGUUAUUUGGACUUGAAAGCCCAAUAAAGGCCCAAACUUCAAUUUAAGUCUAAAUUAAAUUUCAAAUUUAUUUUUAUUAUUUUAUUAUUGUUAUUGUUUUUAUUUUCUUUAUUUAUUGAAUUAAUUAAAAGUAAAAAAUGACAAAAAAAAUGCAAGAAAACACAAAAACAUAAAACAUGAAGAAGUGGCUAGCAACUUCUACCAUAACAGGCUAAAAUUUUCAAGAGCUUCAGCUUCACUACCCUGCUAUACUAAAAAACUUUGGACUGUUGCUACAAAUCGUCAGAUAAAAACCAAUGAUGAAAAUACACCAAACGGAGGGAAGUUUAGUUAUCCAUUUCCCUGCACACACUAGGCUAGACUCUUCUCAACACCCAACAACCUAUCUUUAUCAGCUAAGAAUCCACUCAAGAUCCCUUCCUCCUUUUAGAGCUGCAUCCCUACUAGCACCCAACCUUCACCAAGGCUAAGCCACCCUUGUACCUACUUUGCCAAGCCUUGUCUACCGAACCACCAUAAUUCCAUAAUCGUCCCCAUGCAUUGCCAAACCUAAAGGAAAAAUCCCCUUACACUUCCCUGCAAACUCAAUCAACUAGUUGUCACCUAAAACAGUCCACCAACUUCACGGCCUUUAACCCUAGUCACAAAAUCCCACUCCCACUAUCAAACAUUGUCCCAGUUGAAACCUUUGGGCACCCUUCAGCCUCGUUCAUGCACCAUCUCUCCACCAAAAUUGAUCUCCCUCCACUUAACCACCAAACACCCACUGCUAAGCCAAAUCCAUGCCCUAAUAAUAAAGUUAUAGAAACAGUGCAUAACUAAUUGAAAAACACCCUAUUUAACCUCCUAGCUAAACUCCAUCCCCAAUCUAAUGCUGUAACCCCCAAAACCUCUAAAAAAAAAACCUUCAUCUUAAGCCUGUGACCCAAUUGUACCUACCAUAAGCACCUAUUAGAAAAACCAAAAAAUCCCCCACCACUAUUAGCCAAAACAUUCAUUGGCAAAAAAAAAAAAAAAAAACCCCAUUACCAAGCUUAAAAAUCACAUAAAAAGAAAAAAAGAAGCAAAAACCACAUCUUCUAAGAGGGGAAAAAAAACACCAAGAGCAAAAAAAAUAAAAAAACAAACAAAAAAAGAAAAAGAGUUUUGUUUUGGAUGGCUCUAAUGAAGUUUUGGGUUGAGUUUUUCUUGGAAAAAAAGGUCACAAGGAAGGGAAACACAUACUAGAAAAAAUGUUUGGUAUGGGUGGUAAAAGUAGUAGUUUUUAGAGGUUGGAAUUGUGACCUUUAGGCUCAAAUCUUGGGAUUUAGGAUGAGUUUUUAAAAAACUAAGUCUAGAAAUGAAAGGAGGAAGGAAAUAGGGGUUUUUGGGUGGAUUUUAGGAAAAAUUAUCAUCAGUUGUUAGAAUCUGGGUUUGAAGGUGACCAAUCAUUUAGUGUUUUUUUUUUAAAGAGUUUAGAGCUUUUUUUUCUUUUUUGAAAUAAAGUAAAAAAAAGGUUUAGUAUUUAUAAGAAGAACCAAACAAAAAAAUAAAAACUUACCAGCUGACUUGCAUGUGGUCUUGACCCAACCUAGGGCCCUGCGCUCGAUCCAAUCUGAUGCUAGUCAAUUGCCUUGAACCGAUCCAGUCAUGAACUGGUCUAAUUGAGUCGACUAAACCAUCUUCAGCUACUGAAUCAUGUCUGAAUUGGAUUGAACCACUCUAAACCGUUGACCAAUUGUGACUGAACUUUUUUUAGGUAUUUUUUUAUUAUCUCCUUUAUAUAUAUAUAUAUAUAUAUAUAUAUUGCUAGAUCAUUUAUUUGUUUAUGCAUAUUUAAAUUUAAAAAUUUUAAAAUAAAUAUAUAUUUAAAAAAAGAAAUAUUUUUUUAAUUAUUAUUUUUAAAACAAAAAUGAAAAUUUUUUGAUGAUGUGAUAUUAAAGAAAUCCUAGUCGUGAUUCUUUAAAAAUCUUUAGGUGAGAAUAUUUUUCUAAAAUGGGACCAAAGUACUUAGUAUUUAGAAAUAUAUUUAACACAAAAAAGUUUUCAUUUAUUUAUUUUUUGAAUUAAAAAUUAAAAAAAUAUAUGACAAAACAAAAUAUUUUUUUAAUAUAGAUAUAAGGUUACAUAUAAUAAUGCAUAACUAUUAAUUGCAUCAAUUAAUUAAAAAUACGAAUUUUUUAUUAUGUUACUUCGAAAAUCUGAGUAGUUAUUUUCGAGAAUUCUUUAGGUGAACAAAUUUUUCAAAAAAAAUUGCUAAGGUAUUGGGAUAUUUAGAAUGAUUUUCAAUACAAAAAAAUCUCGAUUGCUUUUAAUUAGGAAAAAAAAAAAGAACUUUCAUGCAAUAGAGUCAAGAGUUAAUUCAUGUGCAUCAAAUUCUAAAAAUAAAUGAAAUAUCUAAAGAUGAGAUUCUAAAAAAGCCCAAGUAGUGAUUUUUUAGGAAUUUCUCGGUAAGAAAAUUUAUCUAAAAUGCCACAAAUAUGCUGAAGCAUUUGGAAUAAUUUUUAAUAAAUUAUUUAUCAUAUUUUUUAUAAAUAGAAUAAGAAAUAAAUGUUAAGAAAAUAAUUAUUUGGAUUGAAUUAUAGACAUCAUAUUUUACAAUAUGUUUGGUAAAUAUAAAUAUUAAAGAUAAAUAUAAACUACCGAGACUAUGAUUUUUGAGAAUUUCAAGUAGUGAUUCUUAAAAAUUCAUUAGGUGAGAAAGUUCCUCUUAAUAUUGUUAGAGUAUUGGAAUAUUUUUAAGGAUUUUUCAGUGUGCAAGGUUCCUAUUUAUUUUUCAACCAAACAAUUAGAAAUAAAAAUAUGUUUUUCCCUACAAUAAAGAAAAUAAAGAAAAUUAUUUUUUAAAUGCCAAAAUUAAGAUUUUUUUAUCUAAAUUAAAAGAUAACACAUAAUUAAUUGGUACAUUUUUUUAACGGGUGCUGUGGGAUGCUAAUCUUUUCAUAUACAUAACCAACUCCUGAGCCUAAAUUAUUUUUGUAAACCUAAAAUUAUCUUUUUAAUAAAUUUUAAUUAAUUUUAAGAUUCUAUUAAAAAGAUAAGUUUUAAUAGGUGGUUAAUCACACCUAGUAAAAAAAAAAUUAGUGAGGACUUUUUUUUUAAAUUCAUCUAGCAGUUCCCGAAACCAUUAUGACAUCAACAAUGAGAAUGGAGUCAAGAACUAGGGAUUUAAAAAACAGUGAAGUAGCAGAAUAGAAGCCACUAUUUUAUGGUAAUAUUGAUGUCCACCAUAGCUAUUGAAAAAAAAUCGGGUGAGAAUGCCAUUCAUGAUGGUAAUGGCACGUCACGAUCGUAAAAAAUAGCCUAACAGUAAAUAGCAUAAAAAACGGACCGUUAUUGCCGCAACUCUAUUUUUUGUCUAAAGAAAAAAAAUCUCAAUUUUCAUUUAAGAAAAGCUUAAAAACAAAAAAAAACACAACCUCAAUCAAAUUUAAAACCUAAAUUAAGAUAAGCACGAGCAAGUAAAGAGGUGGGGUUUCAAGUUUGAAAAAAGAAAAAGGUGCACCACUCAAGGGGAAGAAGAAAGAGAAAGGAAAAGAGGAAAGGUUGUUUAAAGCUGGGCAACUCUAUAACAAAUUUUGAAACCCCAAAAAUAUUCACUGGCAGAGACAAUUUUCUAUAACUUCUUACUUUGAAUUGUUUUUUUCUCUUUGCCUAUUCCUCCUUUUGUUAAUUUGCAUCUCUCUUUAAAUAAGCAAUUUAUUACCCAUUAAAAAUAGACUCUAAAUUAAGGCAAAAUUUAAGCUCUAAAAGGAUUGCUUCAUCAUCCAACUAUCUUUAAAACAGCUUAAUCUAAUCCAAAUUGCUUUUGAAGCUUCUUAAAAGUUUUGUUCUUUGCUUAUCCAAGUUUAUUGGGCUUAAGACCCGAAUGAAGUCUAAGGCCCUAACUAGCUAAUUAAGAUCUAUAAGAAUUUUUAAAAAUCCGUAAACUUUGAUUAAUGGCUAGAAAUCCAAAAACUUAAGACUUGAAAAUCAAAAAUAUUUCAAGACCUCGGACAUAAUAGAGUGUUUACAACACAUACAUUAACAUGCCUUACCAAAAACACAAUGCAUAGAGGAUGUCCCAUUUUAACGUGCCAUUUCAAAUGAAAGCCCAUAUGAUAAGGACAAUCACGUUGGUGAACUCAUUUGGGGUCUCAAACUAUUUGUGUCAUUCAAUCAGAAAAGAAGGGUUAUGGCACAAAUUAAUCAAGUAGGGGCAAAUAAUUAACUUGCUUUUUGGGUCAAUUUGCCCUAAGGCAUGGAACAAACAAAGUAGGGUGAGAUUUUGGGCUUUCAUGUAUUUGAGGUCAUUUAAUGAAAUUUGGGUGAUUUUAGCCUUAGCACAUUUGACACUAUGGCAUAGUUUUAAUGCGUCAAAUUACUAACAUCCAAAUUCUUUAAAAAAAUGUCGCAUGUGUUGGAUCUUUAAGAAAUCCAUUAAAAGGUUUUUUGCUUCUUUUUUUUUUUUUGAAAUUGAUCAUUUCAUUAUUCAUUUCCUAGGGAAAGAUCAUCACUUUUUUAUAUAAUAGUACGAUCAAAUGAAGAUAAAGCUUAUGAAUUCAAAUUCAUGCCCCCUAAAAGGUUAUGGCUUAUGAGUGAAAUUAUUCGCGUGGUUUGGAACAUAAAAGUAUUUAAAAAAGGUCAAGGUAUUGGAUGAGUUCAUUUUUAAUAAUAAUCAUCAAUUUCUUUGAGACUCUUAUAACUUUUUAUAUAAAAAUGUGAAUUUCUCCUCUUUUUUUAAAAAAGGCCCUUUUCUCAAUUUUUUUGUCUUGCUUUUUUUUUUUAUCCUUAUUUUCCUUCAUGAUCUUGAAAAUUGUUUAUAUGGGGCUUUAUUCUCAAAUAAUUGCAAAUUAAUUUUUCUUCUUUCUUUUUUUAAAGUUUUCUUAAACAAUAUUUAGAAAAUAUAUAAAAAAUAAUAUUUACAAAUUCAAUCUAACCAAUUAAUAUUAUCAUUACAAACUCCAAAAAUUAAAAGUCAUUCCUUUUUAAGAAAUAACAAUCAACUUUCAAGAAUAUCCAAAACAAAAUUUUGUACAAAGCUAGAGAAACUAGAAAUUAUCUAUGAUUAACAACUAUGCCUUUCAUGUCCACAAUAUUAUUUUUCAUCUUGGACUUCUUCAUUUCGAGGUGCUCAAUCCUCUUUCAUAUUAAACUUCUUGAAUCUCUUACCAAACUAAGAUGAAAAAGAAGUAAACUGGAAGACAACUUGAGCUUCAUUAAAAUUUUCCUAGUCAUGAUCUUUUUUGCCAAAGACUUUAGGAUUUUUUUAUUUUUUAAUUUUCACCCAUAAUGAGCAUUCUUUAUUCAUUAAAUAAUGGGAUGUCAUGAGAAAACAGUUAAAUAAAUGUGUGAAUGACAUGAUAUUUUCAUGAUGAAAUUGUGAAUGUGUGUGCAAUAAAGAUUAUGCAUGCUUCCUUAAAAUGUAAUGUAGGUACCAUUCAAGUUCAAUGAGAAUCAUAUUAUUUAUCCACGUAUACACAAAAUAACAAGACGUAUUUACGUGAAUGAAAAGUAUUUACAAUGCGAGUAUGAUGUGAAUCGUAUCAUUUAUGAAUAUAUGCGCAUGAAAUGUAAUGUCCUAGUGUAUAGGUGAUAAGACACAUUUAUGUGAAAUGUAGUAUAUAUACAGCAAAAACCAUGUAAAAAUAUAUAUGCAUGGAAUGCAAUGUCCUAUUUCAUGAGAGAUGAUGUGUUUGCAUGAAAUGCAAUAUAUGUACAAUUCAAAUUUAGAAUCAUAUCAUUUGUGAAUGUAUAUGCAUGAAACACAAUGAAACACAACAUCAAUAAUGGUAAGUAUAUAAAUGAUGAAACAUGCUUAUACAAAAUGCACUAACACACCAUAUACAUGAUAAGAUAUGUUUACAUAAGGUGUAAGGCAUGUGUUAUGCAAAUCCAAUAAAUUGACAUUAGCAUUUAAAUAUUUGUGCGUGAAAUGAAUUGUCUGUUCAACUUUAUUGUUUUCAAAUAUAAACAAUGAUGAAAAUGAAUGUAAAAAGGAUCAAAAGAAAUGUAUAAGGUACGAUAAAAUAAAAUUUUGUUCUUUCCCUUUUUUUAGAAAGAAAUAAUAAGUCAAGAAAAUAUUUCCUAAAAGUCAAGCACAUAAAAGAUUUAGAAUUCAAAUAAUUUCUCAUCUUUUAUUUCAUGCUUCCACUUUUUUUUUGGCUAAUAAAACCAAAAAAUUAGGAAAUUUUUUUUAUUUUUUAAAAAUAAUUUUAUUUGUUAUUUUUUGUUUGUUGGAAAAUACAAAAAAAAAAACACCUUUUUUAAAAAAUAUUUUUUAAAAAUAUAAAUUUUGUACGAACACCAGAUGAAUCGAACUACAUGUAAAAAAAAUUUUAUUGAAAGAAUGUUUUUCUUUUAUUUUUCUUUUUGCUUUUUUUUUUUUAAUUCUAGUUUUAUUUGCAUUAUUAUUAUCCAUAAAUACAUAUUAUAUCAAAGUGUUUCUCAUGUGUCCUAAUUUGGAUAAUUUAUACAAAUAGGUUAGCAUGGCUUUAACUAAGGUUGUCUCCUUAUGGUUUAUUAUAUGCUAGUUCAAAUUUAUCCAUGUCUAAGAGAUUCCCAAAUUAGUCCUCAUUGACGAUCAUGCAGGAUUGGUAAGACACUCCAGUUCUUAACUGUUAUAUGCUACAAACGGAAGGGUUCAAUGUGAGUGAUAGUAUUUCACUUGCUAUUACGAAGGUUAUCACAUCACAAAAACAUAGAUACUCUAUUUCUUCUUAAAAAGGAUAGAGUCUAGGUAUAGAGUUCAUGUAUGAUAUGAAUGUGCCAUCAUGUGUAUAAAGGAACAAAGUAUUAUAAUCCUUAUCCUAAGCGCCUCACAAUUAAAAAUAAAAAUUAAAAAAUAUAUAUAAAGCAUAAAAUAAGUAAUGAAUAAAUGAAAUAGUUAAAACUAGUUGUUAGUGAUUUUUUCUUUUUCUUUUAUUAUUAUUAUUAUCUAUAAAAAUAAAAUCAAUAUUAAAGAAAUUAAAGUUAAAUACCAAUUAAUACCAUUAAAUUAAAAUCAAAUAUAACACAUAAUUAAUUUUGGCCUUACUCUUGAAAAAAUUACAUUAUUGGUGGAGCAGCCAAACUGUGUCAUAACGAUUUUAGGGACCACUAGAUAAAUUUUUAGAAAAGUUAAAAUCAAAGAGUUGCUACUAAUUCUUUUUGUUAGGUGUUAUUGGUCACCUAAAAGUUUAUAUUUUUAAUAAAAUUUUAAAAUUAAUUAAAACAUAUUAAAAAGACAAAUUUUUAUUUGGUUUACAAAAAUAAAGCUGAGUUUAAGAAUACAAUUAUACGUAGGGAAAGAUUAGUAUCCCCACAAUACCCGUUUUAAAAAUAAUAUCAAUUAACCAUGUGUUAUAUUUUGAUUUUGAUAAAAAAAAGUCUUAAUUUUAAUAUUUAAAAAUAAUUUCUAUAAUUUUUCUUAUUGCAAUAGAAAAACAUCAUUUUGUUUUUUUUAGUCAUUUGCUUGAAAAAUAAAUAAGAAUCUUGAAUAUUGAAAAAUUUUCAAAGUAUUUUAAUAUUUAGACAAUAUUAAGAGGAACUUUCUUAUUUAGGGAUAUCUUGAGAAUCAUUAUUCCAACUUUUAAAGAAUUUCAUCAUUAGCGAUUCAUAUUUAUCUUAAAAUAAUAUUUUCUUUUUAAAAAUUUUUUUUAUUUUUUUAAGAAAUAAAAGGCAAACAAGAAAUAUUUAUUGAAAAUUAUUUUAAAUGUCUCAGUGUUUUGGGUACAUUUAAAAAAAAACUUAUCACAUAAAAAUUCCUAAAUAAUCAUUCUUGAAAAUCUCUACUUAUUUUUUGAAUUAUUAAUAUUUUACCUUAAAAGUUAUAUUACAAUAUAAUUAUUCAAGAAUAAAUUUAUCUCUUUACAAUAUAUAUAUAUAUAUAUAUAUAUUAUAAAUAUUUUACAUUUUUAUUUCUUUUAAGGUAAUUAUUCAAACUAAGAGAAAAAUAAAUAAGAAUUUUUGUAUUGAAAAGAUUUUCUAAAUAUUUUAAUACUUUAACAAUUUUUAGAAGAUUUUUCUCAUCUAAAAAAUUUUUGGGAAUCAUUAUUCGAACUUUUUAAAAUUCUAUCAUUGAAAAUUCAUACUCAUUUUUUACUUUUAUGAAUGCACAUGAUGCAAUGGUUUUUUUAUGGUACAAAUAAUUAAAAAAAUAUAGAUUUUAAAAGUAUCCAAAUAUUUAAAUUUUGAUAAAAUAUUUUCUUUUUUAUUUUUAUCAUUUAAUUAGAGCAACAAUAAUUAUCUUAAAAUAUAUCAAUUUAAGAUCUAAUAUAAAUGUGAAUACAAUAAGAAAAAAACAAACAAACAAAAUAAUUAAAAAAUUUACCAAAUUUUAGGUUUGUCCCAAUGAAAAAGAAAGUACAGUUAUUCACUCCUAAUUUUAAGUGGGCCAAAGCCUGGUCUUGUUUGGGCAAGCCUUGUCCAGGGCAGGUUGUGUGCUGGAUCUGGUCAGGGAAGAGUCAAAUCCAAUGCGGUUUGAGUUGACUGGGUUCUUUUGUUUUGUUUGGUUUUUUUUUUUUUUUUUGGUUUGUUUGUUAUAAAACUCAAAACUUUUUUUAUGGCUCAAGGGUAAAAAAAGCUUUCAACAAAAAAAUCAUUUAUCAAUUAAGCGCUUAAUAUUUUAUUACAAUCAAUUUUUUAAUAUUUUAUUAUAAUCAAUUAAAUUUUUUAUAUUUAAUUUUUAUUAAUUAAACCUAAAUUGAACGAAAGGGGUUAAAUAAUUGUUGAAACCAUUACUGCCAUUAUAGGUAACCUACGUGGAUUUUUAAAUACAAACGUGUCAUUUGACAUGGAAAAAAAAGUCCAACGUGAUAAUAGAGCUAGAAAGGCUUGAUACGUUUUUUCUCUUUUUUUUUUUUUAACUGUUUAAACUAAAGUUUUUUUUUUUUUUCUAGCUUAUUUCAACCUUUCUUUAAAAAAAAAAAAAUCUAAAACUUUUUGAAAAGGAAUCAAGAAAUAGAACCAGCCACCUUUAAUCCCAAAAAUUGGUAAUUUUUUUGCCACUAGUGGCCGCCUUUGCCAUUGUCGACCGUCACUUGCCAGCACCAGAACUUCACCAAAAUUCACCCAAAGCCUGCUUUUUGACCUUUUCUUUCACGUUCUGAGUUUUGUUUUUCCUAAAAAAAGGCCAAACUUCCCAGAUCUGAGUUUUAACUUACAGCUUCAACAUAAAAAAUGUCUCUCCACCGUGCCAAUUAUAGUAUGUUCUUCCUCAAGCCAAGGCCUUCCUCCUCAACCAAAAAUUCGAAAAUCGCAAUAAAUGUUUUUUUUUUUUAAUUCUUCUAGCACUUUUCUCUCUUUGGGGAUGUGUUUGUUUGUUUUUUUUUUUCUAUUUUGGUAGGUUAAAAAAGUGUUUGAAUAUUUUUUCUUCGGCAAAGAUUUUUUUUUUUUAAAUCUAUGGGAAGUGUGCUUUUAGUGGGUCUCGACUGGGUUUUUUUAAGUUACUGGUUAUGGUAGGAGUCGAAGUUGUUUAUAGCUAUUUCGGCUAGCAAGAGAGAUCGGUUGGUUUGACAAAAAAGGGGAGUGUUUCCGUAGUGUUAGGUGUUUGUUCUACAAUGGUAAGGAGAAGAUCGUUUUUGGGUUUUGGGAAUGGUCUUUCUCUAUAAAAAAAAAAAAAAUACUAGGCCCCCAUUUGAUGGUAGUCUCAGUGAUAUGGAUAGUGUUGGGUUUUUAGUAGUUUGUCUGGCAGUGCAAUUGUGGGAAGAAAAUAUUCUACCUUUCUAACUCUAUUAUCACGUUGGACAUUUUUUUCCGUCACAUGCAACGUUUGUAGUUAAAAUCCACGUUGGUUGCAUGUAAUGGAUUCGAUAAUCAUUUAACUACUUUCUGUCCAAUUUAAAUUUAAUUAAUCAAAAAUUAAAAAUAAAGAAUAAUGGAUUGAUAAAUUUUUUUUUAUUCAAGGGUUUUUUGAUCCUUAAGCAUUUUUUUAUUCAUUUCGUCACUACCAAAAAAAAACUUACCUUCUUUACAGCCCCCUCCCUCUACCAAGCCCAGAUUCUGGCGACGACGGCAGGGUCGGACGGUUGCUCGCCGCCGGCUGCAGCCGCCAUUCGACGUUAUUUGUGUCUUAAAUUCCAACCGUAGAUUCCUCUCUUCGUCCUCUUUCAUAAUCUUCAUAUAGAUUUUUUUCAAAACGCCCUAGAUUUCCCUAGAUCUGAGAUCAAAGUCGGCGGUUUCAACCUCCAAAAAGCUUAUUUCCACUACUUUAACGAGCCCCAUUUCUCACUAUGUUGAUUUUCCCUUCCUCCUCUUCCUCUGCACUGUUUCGGCUUCCUUAAAACCCAGCGCCGCCGCCAUCCCUCCUUGUGCCGCUGCUGCUGUCGUGGUUUCUUACAACCCAGAAAAAACCCCAUCUCUCACCUGUCCUACAAACCCUAAAAGGCUCCCCACAAAUCAUCCAUGAAACAAAAACCAUCCAAAAACUGAAACACUUUUUCAAUUUUGCUACGAUUUUUGCUAACUUUUUUUUUUUUUUUUGACUGGAUUCCUCACUUAGGUGAAGACCGUGGUUUUUCUUUUUGGUGUGAUUUUCGUUUUUCAACUUUUUUUAUUUGGGUGGGUGUGGUCGAAUGGUUUUGGUUGUAGUGUGGGAGGGAUGGUUUCGGCUAGGCUUGCUUUGGGUGGGUUCUGUUGAUUAAUGGAGGAUGUUAGUUGGUAGGGGGUUUUUGGGAUUUGGGAUGGUGGCCAAGGGUGUAGGUUUUUGGGGCUGAGUAUGGUGGGGGGAAUGGUGUUCUACUGUUAGUGACCAUGGCUUGGGUGCUGGUGAGGGUGGCAUUGAUAAGGGUGGUUCGACUGGGAUGGCUAGAGCUUCUAGGAUUUUCGGUCUCUGGUUGGUUGGGGGCAGAGUUAGGAAGGGUGGUGGACGAGAGGGGCAGCAUGGGUUAAAGAUGUAAAUGAUAUAUUAGUACUCGUAAGUUAUUUGGGUUUGAUUCGAAUAAAAUUUAAAUUCGAUUCAAUUAUUAUCGAGUCGAGUUGGAGUUCGAAUAGCUCGACUCAUCGAUUGAGUCGAGUUCGUGUAUUUUUAUAUUCAGUUUGAUUAAUUCGUGAGCUUAAUCAAAUUUUUAUAUUUAAAUAUAUUUUUAUUAUUUUAAUUAAUAAAAUAUCUUGAAUUCGAAUACAAAUUCGAACAUAAAUAAUCGAAUUCUUGUCAAAUAUACGAAUCGAAUUUAUUUUUAUAUAUUAAUCGAACUUAAUCGAGUGAAUUUAAAUAGUUCGAUUUUAAUUACAAAAUCGAAUUCAAACUAAAAAAAUAAAAUUCGAUCUAACUUAAGUUAAAUAUCGAAUCGUGAGUUGAAAAUUCAAAUUGUAUCGAUUCGAUUCAGCUCGAUUAUAUCCUUAACAUGGGUGGUGAUUUUAGGCUUCCAGUGAUGGUCCUUUGGUGUGCUCGCGAUGGGGUCUCAACAGUGCUGAGUUAAAAAUGGUGAUGACUUGUUUGGGUUGGUUCGGGUACCAUGGGUAGAGAGAAGCUCGUGGAGCUUUUUGGAUUUUUUUGGUCUAUCUUCUCCCCCUAUGCUUGUGAAUUCCAGCCCUUUUUUUGUAGAACCAGAAUGGAACUUUUGUGGCUGGCACUUUGGAGUAUUACUGCAGCAGUAGUUGCUGCAUUUUGAGGUUUUGCAAUGCUGCAUUUUGGGGAAGAAAAAAUGAGGGAUUUUGAACUAAUCAUGUUGAAAGUAAAUGGUGAAAAUUCGAGGGAAAAACAGUGGAUAGCUAGAGAUGGAAAGUGGUCUUGGUUUGAAGAGAUAUCCAUUGACAACCGAAAUCUCAACCUUUUGCAAUAUUUGUUUGUUUCUUUUAAAUUUUUUUAAAUAAUUAAAACCUAACAAAAUGAGCCUUGGGCUUUAUUUGAGAAUUUUCAUUGGGUUUUUCAAGCACAAAUGACUUAAUUUAAUUGACUUAAAAUGAAAUUAGAUUGGGCUUUGACCAUGCAAGAGUGAUUUAAAAAUAAUUGAUUUGAAACAAAGUACAGUUGAAUUCAAUCAAUUAAAUUCAAUUAAAAUGCAUAAGUGAGCUUAAAUCAAAACAUUCAAAUAACAUUUAAAAUUCGAACAAAUUUUAAUCUACUUAAAUAAUUUGUACUAAAUCAAGUGUCUACAUCUAACUUUUGCAUGCUCUAAAUAACCUUCCUAAUUAAAAUAUUUUCUUGCAGAUUGUAAAAGAAGUACAAUGUCAAUCCUCUACGCUGGUUCUUUUUUUUUUUCGGUUUAUUUGAGUUCCUAAAUUGUCCUGGACCUGAUACCCAGGUCUUAACUGAUAGGUCUUGCAUGGAAUGAUUUCUGGUUGAUACUAUGACGGGCGAAUGUUGCUGAUGAUUGUGAUGUACUAUUCCGUUGGAUAUAUGUAUUUUUAUGUGCAAGAGUCAGAAGCAUUAUCUGCAUUUAUUAGCCGUGAACUCCUUGUCUUUAGUGUCUCUGAUUGCUGCCUGAUUAUAAGUAGAGGUGAUAAAUAGUAGCUUUCUGUAUUAGGGAUAGAGGUAAGAAGAGUUUGAUACUAGCCUGAACUAUCCACCUGUUAUUGCAGGAGUAGUGGGAGGAAGCCAUCUAACCAAAAGGAUUAUCAUCUUAUACACUGGUGUUGGAGUUUAAAAACUUCACAAGCAGGUUCAUAUUCUUGGUACAUAGCCAUUUAGCAAACAUGUCAACCUAAUAAUCUUGUAUUGACUUCCUUAUAUAGAUAAAUCAAUACAUCAUAAUUUAGUCCCCUAAGCUGGUGUAUAGGGUAUUAUUCCUUAAUUUUUAGUCCCCUUUUCCUCUUUCAGGAUGAACCUACCAAAGGAGGAUAUAUUUAUGAUUGAUUAUAUGUGCUUUAUAAUCCUGAUGGAGGAUCUAUAACCAAGAGGUGCUGAUAUAACUAUUUAUUGCAUCAUCUCUUGGAUGAGAGAAACACGAGAAAUUUUAGCAGUUGUAACUGAAAAUUUUUUUUCUCGUUCUGGAAAGUGAAUGUUUAGGAUUGAUCUAAUGCUGUAGCUGGAAAAAUGGUUUAUUAGCUAAUAAAAACGGUUCAUUUGGCCAAUUGUUGCCAAGAGAUAUAUGUGAUCAUAUCAAAAAACUAGCAGGUAAGAAUUAAGAAUCGUUUAGCUUUUAUUACAAAUUGAGAAAUGACCGGCACUACCUUACUCUUAAAACCAGAAUGUUGCUCUCUAGAUUUCUUUAGUUUUCUUGUUCCAUAACCUCAUUUUUCAUUAACUUCUAUUCUUACUCACAUUUGGGGCUUCUAUCUUAUGUUAAAUUGGAGCAACCUCUGUUAUUCCAUUGGUAGACAACCAUUAGAGUUUCUCCUGAGGUUUGGAUUCAAAUGUGAACGUGAUGUCGGUAUCAGCUGAUUUUAAGAAAAAGCACAUGAUUUAGAAUCCUACAGAUAGUCUUUUCAACUGUUAGGCACAGCUGAAUUUUUAUUUUCGUAUAUAUCUUUUUUAUAUUUUUUCUCCUCCCUCCCUACAAGCAAUUUAUCAAAACGGGGUACUAUUUGAGAAAGCUACAUCACUGCUCUAUGACAAACUACUCUAUUCUAUUUGAUGAUGCAUGCUUUUCUUUUGGGAUCUCGAGUGUUGCUCUCAUAUAGGACUUACUGGUAGAAAGUGAUAUAUCCACACUAGAUUUACUUCCUUUUUCAUGCUGGACUAGAAGAAUUUUGUUGAACCUCAAUUUUCUUUUCUUACUUGGUGUUGAGAAUAUCAUAUUUAAAGCUCCUUGAAGUCAAGAAAACAUCAAGUUAAUAUAACUUAUUAAGUUCUUAUUUACUUAUAAUUAUAUUUAGUCCGACUUUAGGUUAUAUAAUUGUUCACUUGGGUGAGAUUCAAUUUGGAACUGUGUGGAACUGUGGAAGUUUAUAAUCAUGGCCGUGGCUAGUAUGUGUGAAUGGAGAAGGUUGUUCGAUAUCUGUUGUUUUCUUCUACCUGUUUUGAAGUGUCAUCCCAGACAUAUAACAGGUCAGACCCACUGUGUGUUUCGCUAUAGACUACAACCAGUAGUUAAAUGGUCUUUUCAAGCUUAAAGAUUGACAAUGGCUUAGAUUUUUCAUGUGCAAUGUGAUAUAGCUUGAUGCAAACCUUUAUUUGAAGCAGCUAAAAAAGAUUACAUUACGUAAUGAAUAUCGCCCCAUAUCUUCGUUUGGUGCUUUGUAUGCUGUAUAUAUUAUUUGCGUAUUUACUCGCUGUAAUGCAUUAACAGGGUGAUACUUCCAUAAUUUCCCCAUUUCCCCCUUAUCUGUGUAUUUCAACUCCGAGAACUUUGUCUUUUUUGAGGAAAGUAGGGUUAGACAUGAGGAUGUUUGAACCUUCAAGCAGAGCUAGUGUUUUAUUGAAAAUGUCAAAGUGCUUAACGCAUACUUUUUUUUUUGUUGAAAAUAUAAGCCUUUUUUGCUGCUACAGAGUUAGUACCUGAUUGUAAAUGCAACAAUAAAGGUUUGAACUUUGAACCAAUCAAAGUUAUCUAUUUUGGUAUGCAUCUCCUCUGCUCUCAAACAGUUGAUCAUUAACCAAUUAUGACUGCUAUUCCAACUUUCGUGUCAAACUAAAAAGUAUCAUGGUUGCUUGCUUGAUGCUUCAAGUUGCUAGCUCAACAGCCUGCCCAAUGUCCUGAUUAAUUCUUCAAAAAAUAUUUAGCUUCAUUUUCAUUUCUAUACAUUUAGAUUAAAGCAUUACUUUACCUUUGCUUUGGUGUCGUUUGUACCUCAAAAAAUUGAAAUUAAAAAGAGAGACCUCAUCCACUAAAUGGGACUGCAACAGUAGGAUUCAUGUUGGUGAUGGCAGUAGGGGGGGGGGGGGCAAUGCAACUACUUUAGUUUGUCACAAUUUGCAAACAGAUUCAUUAGAUGAAAAUCCCAUAGAAACACAGAGAACAGACACAUUGAAGACCCCUUUAAAAGUCAACACGUAGCCAGGCAAGGGGGGUUUGAUCUCAUGGUUCAAUUCACCUCUUAUUUUAAAUCCCAUAUCAUAUCAACCAAAGUGCAAAAAGAAACUAAAAAGAAGAAAAAACAAAGUUGAGGAGAAAGCAGGGUCAAGAUAAGUUUGCUUGCAAUGUCGCAGCUAAACAACACACUCUUUUGUGUACUCUCAUUCUAGCCAUUAAUCUUUGAUAAUUUUCACAUCAAAUUUACAAAACAGUGGUAAUAUUGCAUACGUUAAAAAAAUAAAUGAUAAAUUUGAUUUUCAUCUUAAAUAAAGUUCACAAAUUUAAACCUUAUCUCUUAAUUUUAACGAACCUUAUUAACAGUGCAGAAUAUAAAAGCUUUAUAUUGGAAUGUUGAUGGAUGUAAACUUAUACAGUAUCCCCAAAGAGAAAAGUCUGAUACACCUCAAAGGCUUAUCCUGUUAUCCAAAUUUGAGUCUCACAUCAACAGAAGAGAAGCGGACAUGAGUAAACAAAAAGGGAGAAAUGUAGAGAAGUGGACGUGACAUGGGAGGAAUCUGUUGUUUUUUGAGUGCUUUCUUCAGCCCUUAUGGGGUCCAUCAACACACCUUUUUUUUACUGUUUUUGCACAUUGGUGGGUCAUGGCCUUGUUAACAUUAAUGGAAAACAAAUGAUAGGAUUUUAAUUAACCCUAAAAAACCUUAUCCUGCUUAUAAGAAUUAGUUCACUUGACAAAAAGAAUAAUUUUUUUUUUUUUUAUUCAUCUUGGUUCGAUUUUUAUGGAAAAUACUUUAGGGAUGAAAUCUUAAGUGUAACAAAUUGUAAAAAUAUGCGUCUUUAAAAUCAUCCAAUCAAAAUUUUAAAAGUACUCUUGAGUAUAUAUAUCAUAAAAAUUAAAAAAACGUUAUCAUCAUUCAACAUUUACCACCAUUUUUUUUUGGGGGGGGGCAUUGUCACUCUCAAAAACGUGCUUUCAUGUUCUAAUUAUACUCUUAUUUAAGUUCUAAUUAUACUCUUAUUUAUACAUACAUAUAUAUAUAUAUAUAUGAUUUAAGGGUGAAAAAUGCCGCCAUCACGAGAAUAUAAUCAUUGUAAUGAAAUCCCUAUCACAUAAAAUUCUUUUUUUUUUUAAAGAAAUAAAUUUAUGGAGUAAUAGAAAAGAACUGAACCAAUAGGGUAUAUAUGCAUAUAUCAUAAUUGUAUGAAAAAGUUUACAAGUCAUUGUAGCAUUAUUUUAUCCCAUGCCCCAUUUAAGUGACUGCCUAAAUUGUUUUUUUUUUUUUCAGUGUUAUGAAUUUGUUUAAUUAUAAUAAAUUAUUUAUUAUGAUAUUGAAUUUUAAAAUUUUUAAUGUAAUAUUUGAAUUAUAAAUUUAUUAAUUAAAAUGAUAUUCAUUUAUGAUAUAAAUAGUUUUAGAUGAUUAUAUGUAAUAGAUAAAUAACUCACUAAAUAUCAUAUUAAUUAACAUAUUUAUAAUUCAUAUAUUAUAUUAAAAUUUUUUAAAAUUUGAAUAUCAUAUUAAAUAUUUUAUCAUAAUUUAUAAACUAUUCGUAACAUCACUUUUUUUUUUUUUGCAAACAAAAGAUACCUUUCAUGGGAUAUUUGGUUUACAGCAUUAAGCAAGUUAGCAAGUGGGUAUUUAUCUUUUUGACAUCACAACAUACUAAGAGGCAUAUAAUUUUAAGCACUACAAAAUUUAUUCAACCAACUCAAAAACAAAAAUAUAGAGAAAAGUUAUAUGCCUUUCAUGAGGUUGAGAAUUUGAGAUGAAUAUUGGCAAGUUGUAAUUUAGAGAGGAGGAGAAAAAAAUGAAAUGAAAAGAAAAGAAGGGGAAAAAAGAAUAAACAUAUAGGGGUGGGGAGGUUGCUUUUGGUGAGGUGGAGACAGAUAAAUGUGGAGGUUAAUCCACAUGGUAGACAGCAGAUAUAUCUAAGUGUACAUUCACAUCACAUGCCCUCCCCUAUCCCCCAUGUGAAAGUAAACCUUUUGUCUGUACUGUCACUUUUCCUUAUGGCCUAUGGGCCAGGAAGCAAAAGUUAUCCAGCCACCCCUUAUUUAAUAUGUUCAUAAUUUUUCUAAUAUUUUCAUCUUUGCGAAAUUAUAAUUUUGCAUUUUUUUCUUUUAAAAUAAAAUCUAAGAUCAAGCCAACCAUAUAACAAAGAAGAAAUCUUUAAAUCUUUAAAUAUAUGUUAAGUUCAAAUCUCAGUGAGUUUUAUUUAAUUAAAUAUAUAUUAAUUUGAUUGUUAUUGGUUUGAUUUCUUUAUUAAUUUUUUUAUAUAUUAAAAUUUUUUAUUAUGAUUAUAAUUUUUUUGAUACAUAUAAUUUCAUCAAAGAUUUAAGACAAUAUAUUAUAUUUUGAAAUCAUAGAAGUUGUACAUUUGAAAUUAACGUUGACCAGAAAUCAGUACUAAAUUCAAAAAAAUCACUUCUUAUCGAGCAGGAAAAUUUUAUAAAAGUUAACCAAAUUAAUCAAUCCAUUGUUGAUUUGUAAUUUCUUCAAUUUUUAUUGGUAGAUUUUUAAUUUCAUUUCUUUUUCUCUGUUUAUCUUUGGCUGGUAAUUAUAAUAUGAAUGAUUGCAAGACGCAACGAAUUAGAAUUGGCUUCUGGAUCUGUGCCUCUUUUCUAUAAUUUCCAACAUGGAAAUUCAAUUCAGAAAGAGCCGCAAUAGGAGAAUCCAUAUAUCUUAUUAAUUUGACUAAUUAGAUGGAGAAAACAGUGCUUCAAAUUUCAAAAGUAUCAGUCAAUAAGAUGAAUGUCAAAUAAUUUUGCAAAGGUGAAAACAUGAAAAAUUUCUUAAUUAUAACUGUAAUUGGCUAAGAGCCUAUACAGUCCCCUCUUAUCAUUUACGUGUCUGGUCUUUUGAAACAAAAAUUUUUUUAACCCUUGUUACUUUUCCAUCCUCCUGUCAUGUCAAUUUGGUUUAUAUUUUUUAUUAUUUGCUUAAUUUUUUCCCUAAAUUUAAUAGAGCAAAUAAUAUAGUAAAACAUGAGCAUGUAAUUAAAAACAACAUCAAUUGUGACUGAACUUUUUUUUUGUUAUCUUUAUAAGUUGAAAUUUCUUGUCAAUACCUUAUUCCUUUGUUUGGGUAAAAUAGAAAGCAAGAGAAAAACAAAAUCAGAGAUAAAAAAAAAAAAAUUUCAGUCUUAACUUUUCAAGAUUUCGAUAUAAUUGUCUAUUUUACGAAGUAGUUUAUUUUCCAUUCAUUUCUGAAUUUAAAACUCAAUCCCAAGGUUGUUUUGAUGAUUCCCUUGGGCCAUUCAUAAUCAUAAAUUUCAUUCUUAUUAGCUCUUUAUUAAACAAAAUCUUUAUACUUAAUUCUUUGGUUUCGCCUCUCUCCAAUGAUGUGAUCAACAAGCAUUCCCCAACUAAAUAAACAAAUCUCCAUCACUACAUUUUUACAUUGAAAAAUUUUCCUUUUAUAUCUCAUACUAAUGUAAUAACCCAAAAGUAAGUGCUUUUCAUAUUUCAAGUCAGCCUAUGAUAUCAAAAACAUUGUGCCAAUGUACAUAUAAAAUUCUCAAAUGUUCCCAUGUCCAUGUGAAUCUUUUUGCAACUAUAUUAAAAUUGGCUGCAGAUCAUCCUUUUCCAUGCCCCUUUCAUUUUAUUAGCACUUGAAAUAAUAUAUUAAUAUAAAACAAAAGAAAGAGAAAGAGAAAGACGACAUAUAUGGUUAUGUACAUGUCAGGCUGUAAAUAAUGUGUAAGUGGGCAUAGUGGGAGAGCAUCUAUCCAAUUCCAAGCCAGCUAGAAAUCAAUUUCUAUCAAAGGCAUCUAUUUUUUUUUUUAUGAUACGGUCGGACAUACUUUUAGAUUUAAUCUGUAUUUAAUACAAUAAGAAAAAAAAAUACUAAAGUGAUAUUAUUUAAAAUUUUAAUAAUAAUUAUAUUUAAGUUUAACAAAAAAAAAGUAUUUCAUGUUUUCAUAAUAACAUAAAUUGUGAUAUGCAAUUUUUGUAAAAAAUAUAACAUAAAUACAUAAAUUUUAAUAUUUUAUACAAUAUGAAAUAUGAAUCGUUAGUUUAAUUUGAAGAUAAAAGAAAAUAUUAAAGAUAUUGAUAUUUGAAUAUAUAUAAAGCUUUGUUCCUAUCUAUACGUUUUGUAGCACAAACAAAAUAGGUGUAAAAAAAAUUAAAAACAAAUACUUAAGAGACUGAGACUUUGCUUGAUAGGAAAGAUAGAAAAAAGUAAAAAUAAAAAAUUUGUUAAUUUAAUGAUUAAAAUUCAUAAUCACUUUUCUACUUUCUAACUUAAUCAUUGAUUAAUAAGUUUUUUAUCCUCGCUCCUUUACAUCAUUUCUACCAAGUAAAGCUUAUUUGUAAAAAUACUUUGAGAAUUUAUCUUUUAUUAAUAAUUCAAAAGUAGCCACUGGUGGACGUUAAGUUAAUUUGCUUAUUGUCAUAAAUGUAGACACCAAAAUUUGUUUGAGAUGAUUCAGUUUUGAUCCCAUUUUAUGUUUGAUUUGGAUAUCUAAAUUUAGGCUCGUUUGAAUGCUUAUUGAACAUAUUUGAUGUUGGGCUCAAAAAGAUUUUGUUUUGGAUCAAUUCUUUGGGGUCACUUUUAAAUGGGCCAUUUCAUAUGAAUCAAAAUCAAUGAUGGGCCAUUUUGCAACCCAAUGCCAUGUUUUAAAGCCCAAUUGCAUUUAUUAAGAUUAAUUAAUUUAAUUAAUUAAGAUAAAUAAAAAAAAUUUUCAAAAAAAAAAAAAGAGACAAAAGGGGUUAAAAAGAGGUUAGUUGCCAUGGUAGUAGCUUCCCCCCACUUUCUCCUCUUCCUAAAUUUUACUUUUUCUUCUUCCCCAUUUGCCAAUCUCAUUUUCAGAUAAUCUAUUUUACCCUAUAAUUUUCACCUAUAUAUAGCAUCAUUGCAAGAAUACUUAUAAGCUCAUGAACUAAAAAUGUAGAACCUCUAUUGCAAUACUCAUCCAAAAAUCCUAAUCACCCUUUAUACCUAAAUUAAACGCUCACAGGUGUGAAGGAGGCUAUGAUUUGGGUACUGUGAAUAUGAACCCCAUGAAGUUCAUAAUAGAAGGGGUGUCGGUUUGUAGGAGAGGUUGACAGAAAAGAAAAACACAAAGCAAAAAAAGUUCUACAACUACUAGUUUUAGCACUAUUUGGCAAAAAUAACCCAUUUUCACCCCAUGCGUUUCAACAUUUAGCUAUAAGUCCCAAACCUUUCACCCACUUGCCAUCACCAGCCCCUUCAAAAGCACUCAAAAUAACAUCAGCAUCACAAAAAAAAAAAAAAAAACCACCAACUAGCCAAAAAAACCAUCCUAGCUCUACCAUCCAACAAAAAAAACCAUUAAUCUCCCUUCUCAUACCUAGUUGAAUCCCAAUCCAUUCAUAGCCCUAAGAACUGAAAAUCACCUUAUAUCUUCCCAAAAAUCACACAAAAAAUAGCAAGCAAAAUAUACUACAGUCAUCACUUGGUGAAGAACCCAGUAGCAAAAAAAAAUUCAAAAAAAAAAAUUCAGUGAUUCUUUAGACUGUUCGCUGAAACAAAAAAGAAGAGAAAAGAAAAAAAAGAAAAAAAGGGAGAGGAGUCUUGACUAAAUAAAAAAAAAGAAAAAAUCAAUAAUUGGAAAGAAAGAGAGGAAAAAAAGAAAAAAAAGAAAAAAAAAGGAAAAGAAAGAAGAGAAGCCAGUAGUGAUAAAAAAAAGGUGAAUUCUAGUUCAACUCGACAUCUAGAGGAGAAAAAAAGAAAGAAGAAGAAAGGGAGAAAGAGAAUAAAAAAAGAGAAGAAGAAAAAUAAGAAAGGAGGAAAAAGAAAAAAAAAGGUUUGAAAAGUCAAAGGAGAGGUUUUUUUUAAUUAAAAGGGCCAACAAUCAAGACCCAUUUCUAGCUGCCCGUUUGAAAAACUAUAUGUAAUCCAAGAAAGCCCAUUGGGUUUGUUGACAUUCUAUGUUUUGUCUUUAGCCCACAAUAAGGUAUAAUGUUCUAUCUUUUAAGCCCUAUUAUUAUCAUCAUGACAUUUAGAGUUUUUGGUAACUUGAACAUACAUGUCAAAAUAUAAGAAAAGUGCCUUGAAUGUGAAGUAAAUUUUUUAUAAAAUUUUAAAUUUUUAGGGUUGAAAUUGUAGUAUUCAUUUGUAAAUAAAUUUUAUAUUAUUAUUAUUAUUAUUAUUAUUAUUAUUAUUAUUAUUAUUAUUUUGGAAAACAUUAAGGUGAUAUUUUUUAGUAAAAAUAUGAGUUUGGAAUCCAUAUCUAGAUGUUGGAGAAAAUUCAAAUAAUUAUUUUUGAAAAACAAUUAUCUUAAUUUUUCUAAAAAUAUAUAUGUGAAUUUCUCUAAAAAAAGUUCUUUUUUAAUUCUACCGAGAUGUUGGAAAAUUAGAAAACGUAUGUAUAAAUAAAAAUAAAAUAAACACUUUUACAAGAAAGAUAUCAUUGCCAUUUUAAAUAAAAUCCAUUUGAAAAAAAUACAUUUACAUGCACUAUUUACUUUAUGUUGAUAUUAUCAUGUAUGCAUUUCAUGCAUUAAUAGUAAAUAGUAAGGUAUCAAUUUUAAAAUUUUUAAGAAAACAAAGUAAUAUUUAAAAAAAAAAAUUAUUUUAGAGACCUUAUCUAGAUAUUAAAGGGAAUUCAAAUAAUAUUUUGAAGGAUUAAUUUUCUCAAAAUUUCACCUAGAUAUUGAGAAAUUAAAGAAAGUUUUCCUACAAAAAAAAUAAUAAAUAGAAUUUCUUUUAUUAAUGAUAAAAAAUAAGAUUAUAUGAAUAUAAGAUAGGUUAAGUUGGCUAAUAGUUUGUAUUUGUAUCCAUUAUUUAUCUCAUGUUGCUUUACGCCCUAAAAUAAAAAAUAUGAAUUUGUAAAUGAUAAUUUUGAAAAUUAGUUUUUUUUUUUUUUUUUUAUAAAUAAUGGUUAAUAGUCCUAUGUAAAAAUAAUCGUUGAGACCUUUCCUAAGUAUUGGAGAGCUUUUCAAUAAUUAUUUUUUAUGAAGAAAUAUUACAUCAAAUUUUAAAGAAUAUCAUGCGAAUUCUAAGUGAAGAAAAAACUUUCCAAAAUUUCACCUAAAUAUUGGGGAAUUAGAAAAUAUUAUGAAAUUAAGGAUUCCCAUUUUAUCCUUAAAUAAAAUGAAUUAAAUUUAAAUAUAUAUUAGAUGAAUUUGAUUGAUUACCUGUAUUUAAUUUACAUUUGCAUUAUACAUAUGCUCCUUAUAAUAUUUGCUUGCAUUUCAUUGCUUUUUUUUUUUUUUUAAAAAAAAAAGCUAAUAAAUGGUGAUUUUUAGAUAAUUGUUUUAAAUAAUUAAAAAAAACUAAUAUUCAUAAGUAAAAAUAAUUUUUGAAAGCCUACCUAAAUAUCGGAGGGCUUCUCAAUAAUUAUUCUUUAUAUAGGUGUAUUAUGUGAGAUUUUUUAGGAAUAAUAUAAAAGUCCCUAGUCAAGAAAUAUUAUUCGAAGUUCUACCUAGAUAUUGGAGAAUUAAAUAAUCUUUAGAUACUAAAGAAUUUUUAAGUUAUUCCUAAAUAAAAUGUUUAAAAAAAGAUUUUUCAAAAAAAUUAAAUUAGAAGAAAUCAUUUUUAAAUAUUAGAACUAAGACCAUUUUUAUCAAUAGUAAGGAUAAUGUUUGAUCAAUUUGUACCAUUUUUAAAAUGGGCGUAGUGGAUGGUGCUAAUCCUUCCCCAUAUGUAACCAAACCUAACACUAUUUUCAUAAAUCAAAAUUAUCUUUUUGAUAAACUUUAAACUCAUUUUAUUGUUUUAUUAAAAAAAUAAAUUUUUUAAGUGGCUAAUCACAUCUAAACAAAAAAGAUUGGUGGCGACUCCCUUUUGUUUUGAAACUUUUAAAAUUUUUGUCUAGUGAUCCCUAAAACCGUUAUGAUAGCUUGGUAACUCUAUUAGGGAUGUAAUUUUUUAGAGAAAGUCAGGCCAAAAAUUGAUCAUAUGUUAUCUUGAGUUUCAAUUUAAUGGUCUUAAUUAAUAUUUAAAUUUGAUUUCUUUGAUUUUAUUAAAAACAAAAGUCUUGCAUUGCAUCUAUCUUUUGAUUAUGUCAUUUAUUCUAUUUUUAAAAUUUUUUUAAUACUAUUCUUAAUAAAUUGUAGGGCAUUUAGGAUAGAGGUAGCUUUGGUAAAAAAGUGUCAAAAGUUUGUUUGUUCCUUUGCACAUUCGAUCACACGUAUUGCAUGCAUAAACUCUAUACCCGAGCUCUUACCCUUUUAUGAGGGAAUGAAGUAUCUAUACUUUCAUGAGGAGAAUACCUACUUGAUGGCUAGCAAAAUACUCUCACUCAUAUUGAACCAUUUUCAUUUGUAUCCUAUAAUGGCUAAGGAUCAGGGUGCCUUACUAGUCUAUAAUGAACAAUGUAUGAGAAAUAAUUUAGGAACCUUUAGAUGUAUAAAUCUUAACUAGCAUAUAGUAAACCUUAAGGGUCUAGCCUAGGAUAGAGCCAUACCAAACCUUUCCUCAAAGAAUGUACCUGAAGAUAGGACACAUGAAGGAAUAUUCUUUACCUUUCACUUGUUUUUAAUAAAUGAACCAUAGAACAUGUGACACUUAACAGUGUCCUAACACCUGUAAUAGAUAUGGCACCUUGCCCUAAGGGUAUCAUAAUACCCAAUAAAAGCCCAAGUAUAUAUGAGAAAAUUUUUUUAAUAAAAGAGCAUAUGAUUUUAAAACAAUAAAAUCAGUUUCUUUUUCUAUCUUAAAAUUUUAUUUAUCACCAAUUCAUUUGUACUAACUUCUUGAUUUUUGUGUAUUUUAUUUCAUCUCUUUUUGCUUGUAUCAUUAAAGGUAUAAGAUAGUCACAUUGAGGUGUAUUCAUAUUUUAUAUAGUUUUCAAUAAAAGGAACUAUCUUUAAGACCAUGGAAUCUUAGGAUUUACAUAUAAUAUUUGUCAUUAGUAAGACAUAUUAAGAAGUUCACGAUCAAUCUAAAAAAGGGUAAUAAAAGGAUAGGGAUUGUCUAGUACAGGGAUAUGUAUAUGGUCUUUUUGAAGUGGUCUAUUUAGAUUUACGAUAAAAUGAGUUGACUGAGUUAGGCAAUAUUUGGAACUAGUGAGGGAUAGAAAGAAAAAAAUGUUAUCACCAAGAAAUAUGGAGAUAUUGCUUUGCUUAUUUGGUGAAGGCAAAUGAAAAGUUGAUCAAAGCUAUAAUACGUUUUCAGAACCCAUAGUACCACUGCUUCACUUUUAACAAAAAAGAUAUGACACCCACUAAUAAGGAAUACUCUACUUUGCUCCUUAUAAAGUUUUUCAGGCCAGAUAAGAUAUAUUGAAAGGAACAAAAGAAGUUAGGGUAUCAAAAGAAAUUGGCUAAGAUAAUAGGUUUGGAUGUCAAAGUGAUUGAUAAGAAGAAAGAAACCAGUGAUGCUAUCCUAUAAACCUUAUUAUGUGAUUUUAUACUUGAGAACCCUAGUGAGAAUUAGGUUAUCGUUAUUUUAGCCCUAGCAAUUUAUGGUUGGUUGAUCUUUUCAAAGGUAUUAGGACAUGUCAAGGCAUUGGUGGUGGAUUUUUCCAUAAAAUUAAAGAAGCAUAACAACCCUUCACUGUUAUCUUAGUGGAGACUAUUAAAUCAUUGAACUGUUGUCACAAAAAAGGGAAGGCAUUUUUUAGGAUAUGUGCAAUUAUUGUACAUUUGGUUUCAAAGCCACUUCUAUGGUGAAAAUAAGGUUCCCUUUAACCAUACAAGAAAUCUUUAGUUCUUAUUACUAAAUUUUUCAAGAAGGAAUAGCCGAGAAACCUUAGUAGGAAGUAAUAAAUUGCCUUCUUUUGGAAUUUAAAAAGGGAAAACGUGACAUGAAGAGCCCUUUGAAUGCCUCAUACAUCUAUACUAUAUGGUUGUGGUGAUAAAUUGUGGGUUCCACUCUUAAGAAUUUGGGGAGUUAUAAGUUAUGUGCUGUAUAUGGUCAGAAGACAAUAUAGGUCGAAAUAGUUUGUUCUGGUGACUCAUGGUUUAAACCAAUUAGAGUUUAACUAUGGAAAAGCUAACUACAUAGGUAGAAUACAUGAUAUCACCAAAGCAUGGGGGCAAAGCUACUUGUCAAAAUUACGAAGGUGUACUAAUGAUGUAACCUUAGGAUAUUUGGUAUAGAAAGCAAAAUGGGUAAAUGAUAUAAUACUUCCUCCAGAUGAUGGUUUUGAUCAAAUGGUUGACCCAUGGGUAAAGAUGCUACCUUCGAGAUUGAACUCAUGAGAUUGGACUUUGAGGUAGAAAAGGAAAUGAUAAGGAAAGAUAAUUUUAAAAUCUAAGAGGAAUUGGGAUAGCUGAAAUCUGAGGCCCUCAUGUAAGAAAGCCAAUUAGAAAAAGAUUACGAAAGAUCAAGAUGUGAUCCAUGGUGACCAUAAGGAACUGUAUGAAGAAAAUAAGAGGCUAAAGGGUUAGUUGAAAGAUAAAAAGAUUAGACCUAACAGUAGGCCAUUGAAGGUACAAAUCAGCUUCAUGAAAGGAUAUAGUGUUAAAGGUGUAAAGCCAUGAAAAAUGAGAAAAAAACCACUCAACUUUCAUAAGAAGAGCAAAAUUAGGAAAAUCUAUUUUCAACCAACAUAGCAAGGCUGUUAGAAAGUUAAAAAGAGAAUGAAAGGUUGAAGGCAAAGUUAAAAAAAAAAUAUUUAAAGAUGCAAGAAGAAAAAGAUACAUUUCAUCAAAUAGUCAAUGGGCUAGAAUAGUAGCUGUAAAAUUAUAAGAAUCACAUUGCUACACUACAAAAUGAGUGGCAAGAGAAAAAAGUAGAUUGGAAGUAUACUUGUAAUCUGAAUAUGGAUGCCCACAUUAAGUGGAAGGAAAAAAAUUUGAUGAGGCAAAUGUAUAUAGAUCACUUGACUUCGUAGAUCUAUAAAGUAGGAAAGAAGGCAACAGAAAUGGUGAAGAAAGCCAAAGCCCCACAACAAGAAACCACCCCAACCAAUAAUAUGGGCAACGUCUAAUCAAUUUUUUGAAUGAGGCCAAAGAGCAAUAUGAACAAGUUAAAUGGUUUUAUGGUUUUAAGCUAAAAAGCAAUAUGUAAUCUUGAGUAUUUUGGAAUCAAUGAAAGAUUCUUUUAUUUGAAAUGUCUCAAAAAAUGGAUACCCUCAAUACAUACAUUCACGAUAUGCACUUUUUUAAGCUAGUUUAAGAAAAGAAAGGAUGGCUAUAAAUAUACUUUCAUCAAAUCUUUAAGGCAAAAAGAGAUUUCUUAAAAAUCUUGCCUAGAUAUUGAAGGGUUUUAAAGAAGCCCCUUUUUAUGGCAAGCAAUAAUAAUCCAAUAUUGCAUACAUAACCAUGUUUUAGUACAUUUGUAACAUGCAUCCAUAAUACAUAUACAAUUCAUUUUUAAGCCAACCUAAGAAAAAAAUGAUGGCUGUAAAUAUAUUUUCAUCAAAUUUUGGAGGCAAAAAAGAUAUCUUUUAAAAAUUUUUGUCUAGAUAUUAAAGGAUAUUAAGGAAUCCUUUUUAUGAAAAACAAUAUUAAUUUCAUACCAUGCAAUUCUGACCUAUAGUAAUUAAUGAAAAAGUUUCAAAGAUAGCUUGGUUGAAGAAUUUGAAUUAGUCUAUUUAUCAUGCAUACAAUAUAUAAGCACAAGCCAAGAUCAUGGAAAAUAAAUAAUCAGUCAGCAUUGAAAGGAUCAAAAAGGCUAUAAAAGAAAUUAGAGAAAGAAUGGCUGAAAUGCAAAAGAGUAUGGGUAGACAAAUGAUAGAAUUAAAGUAAUUGUUGUUAGGAAUGUUAAAAGGUGAAGAAUUGUUGAUGCAUUUGAGCCAUGAGAAGAGAUCAAUGUUGGAGAGCCUAUGUACGCACCAAGGUUCACCCUAUCACAUGUAUAAGUUUAUCGUGGCAUUUAUCAAUAGCCAACAAGAGGGCAACCUUUCACUUAUUGGGGUCCCUUCGCUAGUCAACCAUCGAUUCACGUGCAUAUCAACCCAAAGUCUAGUCUUGUUAACCUCAUUUUGGUUAUAAACUUGGAUGAUCCUAAGGAAAAAAAAGUUAAGAAGCAUGCCUGAACGCAUUGAAAAUACAAAGAUACAGAACAAGUAUGAACUACUCAAUGAAAGACUAAGGGCAGUGGAAGGAAAUGGUAUUUAUGGGAUUAUUGAUGUUAAUGAGCUUAGCCUAGUACCCAGCCUAAUAAUUCUAGCAAAAUUCAAAAUCUCUAACUUUGAAGUAUGACGGGACCAAAUGUCUUUCUACCCAUAUUAUAAUGUUUUUUCGUAAGAUGACAAGACACUCAUAAUGACAAGUUUUUGAUUCAUUACUUCCAAGAUAGCUUAAUAGGAUUAGAGACCAAAUGGUACAUACAAUUGGAUCAAAGUUAGAUCCACUCAUGGAAAGAUCUUAAAUGGGCUUUCAUUAUCUAAUAUAAACACGUGGUUGACAUGGCCUUUGAUAAGUUGUCACUCUAGAACAUAGAGAAAAAGCAUAAUAAAAUAUUUAAAUAAUACACUCACCGAUGGAAAGGUGCAGCAGUUCAGGUGCAAUUGUCACUAACAGAGAAAGAGACAACAAUGCUAUUUAUCAGUAUACUAAAAGCACCUUAUUAUAAAAAGCUAUGGGAAAUGUAACUAAGAAUUUUGCCAAUAUGGUAAUUUUGAAAAAAUGAUUGAAAAUACCAUAAAGAGUGGCAAGAUUGAAAGACAUGAUGCAUCAAUUGCUAAGAAAGUGGUAAUCCCAAAGAAAAAAAAAAAAAGACUCAUGUGGUGACUUAUGGAAACACACCACCAAGACCAUUCAUAUCGUAUCAGCUUUACACAACUUUCCCACACUACUACCCAUUCACAAACCAAGUGUCUCAAGGAUCGUACCUUUACCAACCACCUUAGUAACCACUAUAUCAGCCAAAAUUUCACCCUAAAAUGUCUAGUUACACUCCCACCCUAGUAACUUAAUCUUUCACUCCACAAACUAGCUAAGCACGUAGUAAUAUGGAAAAGACCCAUUUUGAUCCAAUCCCAAUGUCCUAUACAGACCUAUACCCACAACUGUUGAAAUCCCAUAUCAUUACCUUUAUUUACCUAUAACCUCUAAAACCAUCAUACCCCAAGAUAUGGCCCUAAAGCUUGGUACGAUUACCAUUUUAGAAAUGUGGGACAUUCCAUUAAAAACUAUAUAGCCUUGAACAAUAAAGUACAGGGUUUGAUAAAAGCCAAACUAUUAAAUUUUGAUAUUAAGAAAAAACCAAGUCUCAAUAGGAAUCCUUUUUAAACCAUACCAGAGAGAGAGUCAAUGCUAUAGGUGACGAAAAAACUAUAUAAAUCAAAAGAUGGGUGGACAAAGUAAAGACUUUCUUUGAGUGAGUAUAUGACUAUUUGGUUAAGAUAAAUAUGAUUCAACCUAUGUCUAGGAAUAUUGGUGGAAAUCACGAAGAUCUUGCUCAAAUUUGUAAGUAUCAUGAUGAAGUGGCUUCAAGUAUGUGUAGCUUUUCACCAAUUAUUACAAAGUUUGAUGGAUGCAAAUAUGAUAGACUUUUAUGCUGAAUGUGAUUAAAGUAUUAUGAAUAUGAUAGUAAGACAGCCCAUUAGCAAUUUUUUUAUUCCCAAACCUUUAAUAGUAUUCUAUGAUGAUAAGCCAAAGUUUGUAUUAGUGGAACCUAUAUUUCUCCCUAAAGUAGCAUGACAAUUUACGUCCCUAACUCAUUUCUCUAUCAAAAUGAUAAGGCAGUCUCAUAGAAGUACGAUUACGAUUUUAUGGUUUAAGGGCCCAGUGCCAAUACUAUUAUGAAAAGCUUAAAUGUGGGAAAUGCCAUAAACAUUACAUGCAUAGGAGAAAUGAUUAGAAGUGGUCAGUGCUAUACUCUAAAAAUAUUAGAGAAAGCCAGAAAGGGCAAAAGAAAGUGAAAAAAAGAGAAAAUUUAAAGGAGGGUGAAACUACUUAGCUAAUAAUAAGCCUAGAGGUGCAAAUCAAAAAGCUGGUAUCAAAAGAAAACCUAUGAGUUUUUUAAGAUCAUUAAGCAUAGUGAAUAUAAUGUCAUUGAUCAGUUGAACAAGAUGCUUACUCACAUCUCUUUGCUAUUGCUUUUGCUAAAUUUUGAGCUACAUCGUAAUGCUUUGUUGAAAAUAUUAAACUAGGCUUAUGUGGAUAUAUAUCUUAAUUGAAAAUGUCGACUAUAUGGUCAAAAAUAUAGUAGCCACAAACUUCAUAUCCUUUAAUGAUAAUGAAAUAUCAGCCAAGGGAUAAGACAUCAUGAAGGCUCUUUAUAUCGCUAUCAAGUGUAAAACCCAUUCCGUGGUAAAAGUGGUUAUAAAUAAUGGGUCAUUAAUCAAUGUCUUGCCUAUGACCAUAUUGGCAAGACUACCUUUUGAUCCAUCUCAUAUAAGAAAUAGCUAUAUGAUGGUAAGUGCUUUUGAUGGGUCCCAAAGGGAUGUGCUAAGGGACAUCAAGAUUUUAUUGUAAAUAGGCCUAUGUACCUUUAAUGUAGAAUUCCAAGUGAUAGAUAUCUCUUUAUCUUAUAGUUACCUGUUAGGUAGGCCUUGGAUUCAUAUAGCAAGCGCUAUACCAUUGUCCCUCCAUUAAAAAGUGAAAUUUUUAUUGAAGGAAAACAAGUCUGUUUGGCAGGAGAGGAAGAUUUCUUGUAACUAAGACCUUGACCUCUUUUUAUGUCAAGGCUAUGAAAGAGGCACUUAAAUGCUCAUUUAAACCUUCAAAUUUGUUAACACCACCUAUAUAGGUGAAGGAUAGAAGAUACCAAUCCUCUAUCUAUCAAAGUGUAGAUAAUUAUGCAUUAUUAUUAGAGUUAAAGUAGUAAAAUUCUUAAAAAUUUUAAUUUCCUAAAGCCAAGAUCAAUCAACAAGAUUAUACAAGCAAUAUAUAUAUACAAGCAUGUAUAGUUUCGACUAAAGGUGUUACCUUGAAUGUCAAAAAUUCCUUGGUUCAAUUUGGUGAUCUUUUAAAUAGAUUCCAAGCUAAGAAGCUGAUCAAGUAUUCAACCUCUAAUGGUGAUCCACAUGAACUAUUGUGAAAGAACCUUCUUUAAGGUUUGGUAAAACUCAAAGCCAUAUUCUAACUAGUAAAUGUUUGUAAGACCUCUUUUAUUUUCUUGAGUGAAACUUCAUUCUCUUAGUUUUUCUUGUUUUUCUCUAGAUGCUUCCUUACAAAAAGGGGAAACUUGAUGUUUCUUUUAUAAGGGAAGCAUUAACCACAUUAGGUUUAAUACUUGGAAUGCAAAUUUUCACAAUUAACCUUAUGCUAGCCAAAUAUACCAAAUAAGAAAAACUCUUUCUCUUGUUCUUAUUUCUUAUAUUUUUUGGUCAUACCAAAAUCCAAUUAAGUCCAACUUAAUUUAUCUCAAUUUUAAUCUUUCACAUUUGUCCUAUUGUGUGUGACCUAUUAGGUUCUUUGGUAUGUUGGCAAUAAACAUAAGCAUUGUACGCCUUAAUAUUUGGCUAUGGAUAAAACAAAUUUUUUAUUUUCAUCACUAAUUCUCUAAUUAGUCAAUCUUAUAUUUAUAGAUCAUGAUUAAUUGCUAUCUUCAUUGCCAUGACCCCCUAUUGCUAAAGAAAAGUCAAUAUAGCUUUGCAACCCAUCUAUGAAUAUUCAUAGUGUAUAAUUGAUAUCCUUUCAUCACAUAGUAUCUUCGUUUGAACAUUGAGUUAUGGUUUAGUAUCUACUUAAUCGUGUUUAACCAUGUUUAUUCUUAUCCUUGAUGUUAAUUCACAAAUAAGCUUUAAAACAGUUUUAAACUCUUAUUUCACUUUGGCCAAAGAUUUCUUAAGUUAACUCAAUCAAUAUUAGAUGAGAUACUCUCUUGAUCACACAAGAUGGUGAAUCCCAUCUUGAUUACUUCAUACAUCUUCAUAUGCCUCAUGUUAUACAUAACAAUACUCAGUUGGAACAUUCUUGGUUAGAACCAUAAGUAAAAUAAAGUCAAAGUAUAACAUCCAUCAUAUAAGAUUAUAAGUAAUCUCAACUCAAAGGAUCACUUAUACAACUAUCAUAUGAGAAUGUAUCUAUAAAUGCUAUGUGAACUAUCAUAUAGCAUUGUUAUAUUGGAUCAUGUUCAAUAAACUUAUUUUUGUAACAAGCACCCAUAUGUUAGCUCAAGUUUAUCCAAACUUUAACCUAUGAGAUUGGUUGCUUGCUUCAUAAGUAAGAGCAUAAUCAUGUGCUAGUUUAAACAGCUUUUGUCAAUAUUUUCUAGUUGAUAAAACAUCGACUAGGAACAAUUUUGGAACUUAUAGCUUUUAUGCAACAAUGAUCUCAUAAUUACAAUCUCAUUGUAAUUUCCUUGCAAAGCUUUAUUUAUAUUUUGAUGACUUUAUCAUAUAAGCAUUAACAUUGAAAUAUAUGUACACAAGCUUAAUGAUAAAGAAAUAAGACCUUUAUAAAAUAUUAAAUAUCAAAGUACUACAAAUAUGAUAAUAUCUUAGCCAAAAUAUGAUUCAACUUGAAGGACAAAUACCAACACAAAUACCAUAGGGAUGGUAAUCAAGCAAAUGAUUGGAAAAAGGGUGGCAAACUAAAAUGGGCUUGGGUAGGACUUUUCAAAGAAUGAAAAAAUUGCCAAAUGUUAUUGAAUAUAAAGAAAGGUUUGGUUUGGGUUAUAAGCCAAUAGUAACAAAUAGGAGAAGAAUGAUAUUAGAGAAAAGAGAAAGGAAAAUGGCGCACCUUAAGGGGCAAGAAUCAGAUGGGAGCAUAAUGGUGUUUCUUUACUUAUACAACAUAUUUCGCUCAGGCGGAUAUGUCCACCUUGGGUCAUUAGAGGUGGAAAAGGAAACUCAAACAAGAAAUUUAGAGGUGGCCUUCUUUAAUAUGUGUAUGGGUCCCUUCAAGAGGCCAUGAACAUAGUCAAUUUAGGCGAUUGAAGAAAAUAAGAAAGAAGUCAGGGUCAGUACUUCACUUUUAUCCACUAAAAGGUAAAAACUAAAAGUUUUGCUUUAAGAGUAUAUGGAUGUGCUUGUGUCAUAGACCUAAAGAAGAGUCAUGAAUCCCACAUCGAACAUAAUAAGAGGGUCACUGGGGUAUAAAAGGAUUCAUACUACCUCUUCCUUGUGAGGCACCUUUUGUAGGAUAAAACCAUGAGGCCAAGGGAGCCAGAACGGAUAAUACCUCACAAAGGUGUGAACCGUGAUAGGUAGGCUGAUCUGAGACAUCGAAUGAGUGGAUGUCCAGGUCUCAGAGCUGCAUGGGUUCAAAGCUUAAGUUUCGACCCAUGACACUUACAUGGUCAUACAGGGACUUACCAUAGUUCAACACAAACAUUGUAGAACAUAAGCUGCCCUUAAAGUUAGGGUGUAAGUUAGUUGAACAAAAGUUAAGGUGCAUGAAACCCAAAAUGCUAUUGAAAAUCUAGGAUGAGGUAAAAAAAUAGUUUGACGUUGGUUUUUUAAAAGUAGCCAAAUACCUUAAAUGGGUAGCCAAUACAGUCCCAAUCCUUAAAAUGGAUGAAAAAGUGAGGAUGAGCGAGGACUAGUGAGAUUCGAAUAAAGCUAACCCUAAAGAAAAUUUUUUGUUGCCUCAUAUUGACACCCUAAUAGAUAGCAUUGCCAAACACUCUAUGUGCUCAUUCAUGGAUGGUUUUUUUUGCUAUAACUAAAUCAAAUGGCUUGAGAUGAUAUGGAGAAAACUACAUUUGUGACAAUGUGAGGCACAUUUUGCUACAAGAUUAUGCCAUUUGGGCUAAAAACUACUAGUUUUACAUACCAAAGAAUGAUGGUAACUCUUUUCAUGAUAUGAUGUAUAAAAAGAGAGAAACACACGUUGAUGAUAUGAUAACAAAGUCUCGUGAAGGAGUGGGCCAUGUUGCUAACCUUAAAAAGCUUUUUGAAAGGUUAAAAAACUAUAAACUUAGGCUAAAUCCAAUUAAGUGUACAUCUGGGGUAAAUUGGAAAAGUUAUUAGGAUUUAUAAUCAACGAAAAAAGAAUCAAAGUCAACAUGGACAAGAUUCGUGCCCUUAAAAAUUUAUCUCCUCCAUGUAUACAGAAACAAGUUAGAGGUUUUUUAGAAAGGCUAAAUUAUUUUUCUCACUUUAUCUCUUAACUAACCUAAAAAGAUGACCCCAUUUUUAGGCUAUUAUGAAAAAGUGACCUUGGGGAAUGGAACAAAGAGUGCUAGAAUCCUUUUGAAAGAAUUAAGGAAUGCUUGUCAAGUCCACCAAUGUUGUUGUGACUUAUUAUAGGCUAACCUUUGAUUUUGUAUUUAACAAUUCAUAAGAAUUCUAUGGGAUGUGUACUGGGGCAAAUGGAUGAACUAGCAAAAAAGAGCAAGCUAUUUACUAUCUAAACAAGAAGUUCAUUAAGUAUGAAACUAAGUAUUCUUAGUUACAAAAAAUGUGAUGUGUAUUAGUGUGGACUAUACGUAGGCUCAAACAAUACAUGCUUUACCACAUAACUUAGUUCGUAUCAAAGUUAGAUCCCCUUAAGUGUAUUUUCAAAAAAUCAUCUUUAUUAGGGAGAAUAAAAAGAUGGCAAGUUAUGCUUUCUAAAUAUGAUAUUAUACAUGUAGCACAAAAAGCCAUUAAAAGGAGUACAAUAAUUAACUUUCUCGCAGAUCGCGUGGCUUACAACUAUGAGCCCAUAAAGUUUGAGUUUCUAGAUGAAGACUUAUAAGAUAAGGAUAAAGAGUCUAUAGAUGAGUCAUGAAAAAUAUUUUUUAAUAGGGCAUCCAACAUUAUGGGGCAUGGCAUUAAGGUAGUAUUAAUAUCCUCGAAUGAAAAUUAUUAUCCUUGUACUAAAAGGCUAGGUUUUAGUUUCACCAAUAAUGUGGCAGAGUACAAAGUUUGUUUCAUGGGCCAACAAAUAGCCAUUGAAAAGAAAAUUAAAAUACUAAAGGUGUAUGGAAAUUUGGAUUUAGUGAUCUACUAACUACGAGGUGAAUGGGAGGCGAGAGAUCAAAAACUAGUCAUAUACCAAAAUGAUAAAGUUGAUUUCAUUAAGCAAUUUAAGGAUGUCCAAUUUUAGCUUAUCCCUAGAGAGAAAAAUCAAAUUGCUAACACCCUGGCAAUGUUGGUUGCAAUGUUCAAGUUGAACGCAAGUAUGGGAGUGUAACCCAUUAGAAAGCAUAUACGAGAAUCAUUGGCACACUAUUUGAGUAUUAAGGAAGAAAUUGAUGGAUAACCUUGGUAUUAUGGUAUUGCACAAUACAUUAAAACUAGAAAUACCCAGAGCAUGCGUUCGAAAAUGACAAAAGAAUAAUCAGGAGAUUGGUGAUGGGAUUCAUUCUUGUUGGAAAAGUUUUGUAUAAAAAAGGUUGGGAUUAGAUUCUCUUGAGAUGUGUAGAUGUUACUGAAGCUAGAAAAAUUCUUGAAGAAGUGCAUGAAAGAAUUUAUGGAACACAAGUAAAUGGGCACAUGUUGGGCAAACAAGUCAAGAGGGUAGGUUAUUAUUGGUCAAUACUAAAAAGCAAUUAUCUUAAUUAUGCUAGAAAAUGCUACAAAUGCUAGAUUUGUGUAGACAAAAUUUAUUUUCCCCCAAUUUUGUUACACAUCCUAACACCUUUUUGGCCAUUUUCAAUGUAAUGAAUGGAUGUGAUUAGACCAAUUACCCCAAAGGCUUCGAAUAGGCAUAACUUCAUCUUUAUAACAAUUGACUAUUUUACGAAGUGGGUUGAAGCGACUUCUUAUGCCAAUGUUAUAAAGGUAGUCAAUUCAUCAAAAAAGAAAUAAUUUAUGGAUACAACUCCUAGAAAAUAUUAUAUUCGAUAAUGCAAGCAAUUUGAACAACAAAAUGAUGAAAAAGCUAUGUACUCAGUUUAAGAUAGGGCACCAUAAUUUAAUGCCAUUUGCCCCCAAAAUGAAUGGUGCAAUAAAAGUAGCUAACAAAAAUAUCAAUAAGAUAUUGGAGAAGACAAUUGACACUUAUAAAGAUUGGCAUGAGAAACUACUCUUUGCCCUGUAUGCUUAUACAACAUCAGCUCGCACCUUUACUUGAGCUACCCCAUUUUUUGCUGGCAUAAGGGUUCAAGGCUAUGUUAUCUAUUGAGGUGAAAAUUCUUUUACUAAAAGUUUCAAUAAAAGCAAAACUAGAAGAAGCAAAGUGGUUUCACAAUUACUUUGAACAGUUAAACCUCAUUGAAGAGAAAAGGCAUACAGCACUCUACCAUGGCUAGAUGUACUAAAGGAGGAUAAUGCAUGCACAUCACAAAAAGAUACAACCUAGACAUUUGCAUAAGGGUGAGUUGGUUCCAAAAAAGAUCUUGCUAAACCAAUAUGAUAGUAGAGGAAAAUGGACACCUAAUUAAAAGGGUCCAUAUGUGGUGAAAAAAAAAAUUCUUGGGUGGAGCUCUAAUUUUAGUAGAAAUGGAUGGAGAUAAAUUGCUGAAUACUAUAAAUUCAGAUGCUUUGAAAAAAUAUUAUACUUGAAACUUUAAAAAAAAGUGAAAAGGGGAAAAAAGUAAAGCAAAAAAGGUAAAAAAAAUAAAAAAUAAAAGAAAUAAACUUUAUAUUGAAAACCUGAAAAGGGCAGCUCGAGCAAAAAAAAAGACAUCCGAGCUAAAAACUUAAAAAGGCAACCUGAGUGCAAGAAGAAAAUAAAAAAGGUGUAGUAGAAUUGAAAACCCAAAAGGAUGAUGUAGAUGUAAGAAGGAUUAGCAUCGAAAAUGGCUUUAACUAAAUGGCAGGUCUAUGUCAGUCUCAAAUUAUGAGUGCAAAGAUUAGUCCAAUAAACUCAGAAAGAUCACUGUCAUUGAUAGGAUAAGUUUUUUAGAGAGGAUUGGGAUAGAUUUGAUUUGAAUUGUUUGAAUGUUCAUCAUUUAGAGAAUUGAUAAUUGAUUCCAUAAUUUUUAUCUUUUAAUUACAUUCCUUCUUUGUAUACCUUUUUUCUAUGCUUUUUAAAGAAAUUUUUUAUUUACUCUUGUCCUAGCAAUAAUGGAUACCUUUUUUUUCUCUUUGAUCGAACUUUUCAUACUCAUCUUUUGUCAUAAAUUCAUUGCAUUUGUUAUGAAUUAGGAUAAUGAUUAGUAAUGUUUAUAAACCCUUACGAUACUUUGAAAAGAUUUGAGGAUAACAAAAAUGAAAGAGAGAUAAAUGAAAAGAUGAAAAAGGAAAAAGAAUGAAGAAAGAACAUAGAAAGAAAUGAAAAGGAAAACCAAUGGAAAUGUCAACAUCCAAGGAUAUUGAGCAAACAUAGAACAUCUCUUAAGUAAAUGGAUGUAUGUAGGAAUCAAUGAUUUAUAAGUUAAUUGUGAAAUUAACCAAAAUUGGAAAAAGUGAAAUGAGAGAAAGGAAAUGAAAUGAAAAAUGGGUUUUUGAAGAGAGAUUUUAAAUGAAUGGGAACAAUUAGUGUCAUGUCCAAAAUUUGAAAGAUAGAGUUAAUGAUGAGAACCUUGUUGCUAUAAGUUUGAAUGAAUGGUAUGAAUUAAAAGGUCACAUGACAUACAUGGUGUUUUUUGCUUUUAUCGCAUCCAUUGUAUGUAUACUGUAGUAACAUAUGAAAUAGAAGGUCAAACUUUGCUAUGAGAGGCUAAGCAUACCAAGACAAGGUAGGAUGAUUUUCAAAUAGAACUUUGAUGUGAUGGAUCAAGUUACGAUUAAAAAAACCUUUGAAUUUUCAAACUUUACAUGCAAAAGACUUUUAUCUGAGAGUUUUUAAAGUUGUUAAGCUUUUUUUUAAGGAACCUUUCCUAGAGGAGAAUUUUUAAAGUUAUUGAGCCUUUGUUUAAAUGAGCUUUUCCCAUAUGAGAAUUUUUAAAAUUGUUGAACCAUUGCUUAAAGUAGUUUUUCAAGAUGAGAAUUUUUAAAGUUAUCGAGCUUUUGUUUAGAGGAGCUUUUCUCAAUAUGAGAAGUUUUUAAAGUUGUUAAGCCUUUGUUUAAAAGAUCUUUUCAACAUGAGAAAUUUUUAAUGUUGUCGAACAUUUGUUUAAAGGAGCUUUUUCAAUAUGAAAAGUUUUGCUUUAAGAAGCCAUUUUUUAGGAAAAAGUAUUUCAAGUUAUGGAGCCUUUAACGAGAGGAGUUUUUAGAUUUACUUUCAAAAGUUUUAGAGCCUUUAAUAAAAUGAGUUUUUCAAAAAUUCAAAAAAUUAAGGAAACUAAAAACAAAAAUUAAAAAAAAAUUCCAAAAAAAACAAAGGUAAAAAAAAUCACAAAAAAAUUUUUUUAAAAAAAUCCUCAAAUGAUCAACUUUGGACAAAAUCAGUGUCUAUGUCUUUACCCUAUUCUUGAUUCUCAAUAAUGUGCAAAGAGGGACAGUUGUAGGCACCUAAUUUGUCUGAGACGAUUCAAUUUUGAUCCAUUUUUGUGUUUAAUUUGGAUAUCUAAAUUUAGGCCCAUUUGAAUAUUUAUUGAACUUAGGCCCAAAAAGAUUUUGUUUUAGAUCAAUUCCUUAGGGUCACUUUUGAAUGGGCCAUUUUAUAUGAAUCAAAGUCAAUGAUGGAACCCAAUGCCGAAUUAUAGAAUCCAAGGGCCAAAAAACCCAAAGUUUAAUGUUGAAAUCCAAACCCAUGCUUUAAAGCCUAAUUGCCUUUUAUUAAGAUGAAUUAUUUUAAUUAAUUAAGAUAAAUAAAAACAAUAAACAAAAAUUUCAAGAAAAAAAAACCAGAGGGGUUGGUUGCCUUGGUAAUAGCCCCUUUUCACUUUCUCGUCUCCCUAAAUUUUACUUUUUCUUUUUUUCUAUCUACCAACCCCACUUUUAGCUAAUUUGUUUUACCCCCCCCCCAAUUUUCACCUAUAACACCAUUACAAGAAUGCUUAUAAGCUCAUGAACAAAAAAUACAGAACCUCUUAUACAAUACUCGUCCAAAAAUCACAAUCACUUUUCUAGCCUAAACUAAAUGCUCACAAACAUGAAAAAGGCUAUGAUUUGGGUUUUGUGAAUAAAAACCCUAGGAAAUUCAUAACAGAAGGUGGGCUAAUUUACAAGAGUGGUUGACAAAAAAGAAAAACAUAGAGCAAAAAAAAAAUUCUAAGCCUACUAGUUCUAACACUUAGCCAUAAAUCCAAUCUUUUCACCUAAUAGCCAUCAUUAGACCCCUCCAAAGUACCUAAAAAAUCAUCUAAUAUCUUUCCAAAAAUCACACAAAAAAUAGCAAGCAAAAUAUACCAUAGUUUUCACUUAAUAUUGAACCUAAUAGCAAAAAAAUUUCAAAAACAAAAAAAUUUUCAGUGAUUCAUUGGGCUAUUCGGCUAAAAAAAAAGUAAAAAAGAAAGAUAAGGGAAAAAAAGGAAGAAAAAAAAGGAAAAGAGUCUCAAUUAAAAACAAAGAAAAUAAAAGAUCAACAACUAGGAAGAAAAAAGAGAAGAUGAUAAUGAAAAAAAAGAGAGAAAGGAAAAUAGGAGAAAAAAAGGGAAGCUAGCGACAGCAAAAAAAAAAAUGAAGGCUUGGCAAUUAAGUAGGCCUUUUGGCCCAGUAAGACUUUGAUGGAGAAGCUUUUAGGCUUUUUUAAUUAAUUAGGCUAAGGUCCCUUCUUCAUUUUUACAAGUUACAACAACUCCCCAUUGAGUGCCACCAAUAAGAGAAGAGUGAAGAGAAAAACCUAGCCACUUCAGGGAUUGUUUUGCUUUCACGAAUUCAUUAUGACCACCCAAACAGGUAUAUCAAAUCUCUAAAUUUAUUUUAUGGUGUUCUAAUUUUCACAUAAUGAUUUUGGGUUAGUGAUUACAUCUAUCAUUUUUUAAGGUUAUUUUAAGCUCGACUAAGGAUCCUAAAAAGAAUAGGUUCUAGUUUAUAUCAACAAAAUUAGGUUCGGAAGUCAAUUACGUGUAAGUUUUAACUCUCCCACAAUGCUUAAAAUCAGUACCAAGUUAAUUACAUGUUAUCUUGUAUAAGCCUUAUGCAAAGAUAAUUUUUUAUUAGUUUCGAUAUUUAAAUAUUGAAAAAAAUAUUUAAGUUUUCACUAGAAAAUUUUUUUUUUCACCUCAAGAAUAUUUAAAAUAAACUCAUUGUUUACUUGAAGAGGCUCUGUCAUCGAAUUUGUUAACUAUCUUAUCACAAAUCAAUCUUUUAUUUAUUUACAAAAUAGUGUUAUACAAAAAGUUAUUGUCAAAAUAUCAUGCAAAUAAAUCAUGCAAAUAUCAUAAUAAAAAUUAUGUCAAAAUAUAUAAAUCGCACGAAGAAUUAAACAAGGAUAUCAUGUAAUAAAUAUCAUAAAAAAACAUGAUGCAAUAAUAUUAAAAAAACCAUAUUCAUGCAAAUAAAAUAUUAGAUAAUACAAAUUCAUGCAAAAUAUUAGGCAAAUAUAUAUUCAUGGAAAAAUAUCAUAAUAAAAGCAUGCAAUUAAAUAUUAUAAAAAUUAUAAAAAAAAAUUAAAACAUGCAAACAAAAUUGGAAAAACCUUACCAAAGUUUUUCCUUUUUUUUUCAUCAUUUUAACUCAAUCACAAUUAAAAAUAAUAAAUAAGAAAAAAAAAGAAAAAACCAAAAAAAUAAAAGAAAAAGAAAAAAAAAAGAAACCUGUAAUUCAUGUUAGGUUGAUUACAGUUAACGUGUGGAUCUCCUUAUGUUGAAACCUAGAUCCUAGAUCUUUAAAAUAGUAUCAUUUAGUUUAUAUUUAAAAGUAAAAAAAAAAACAACUUUUUUCAGAACCCCUUUUCCUUCUCUCUUUAGCCCAGAAUCCUCUAACUUUUCUCUAAAACUCCAAUUGUGAUACUCAAUCAGUUGGCUAAAAAUCCCAAAAUCAAGUAAUUUUCCUAGAAUCUGAUCACCAAAAAAAUCAAACACACUUGAAAAUUCAAAGAACCCGAAAACCGACCACCAAUAAACCCAUUGACCAUUAUGAAAUUCAACCAAAAAAUUCAAUUUUCACUAAAAAAUUCAAGUAAACCCAGAAAAUUCUAGAAAUUUAAACAAAAAAACCAAAAAAUUCAACCAAAAAUCAAGAAAAGUCCUAAAAAUUCCAAAGUCCCAAAACAAAAAAACCAGAAUUUCCCAAAAUCAAACCAAAAGACCUAAAAGCUCAAAGAUUAGAAUCGAUCCCAAAAUCACCAAACAAUCUUAAUAACUUAGAAUUCAUAACCAAAACCCAAAAAAUCUUAAGCCUAAGCUUAUGUGAUUGCUUGUUAAUUGUUUGUAAUUACUUAUUGUUAGUGAUUGCAAAUUUAGGUUCUUUUUAUAAGUAUGAAAUCCCACUUCAAAUAGAAAAAUCCUAAAUUCUACCGAUUCCAAGAUUUUAUUUUUUUGUGAUCUUCUUUUUUUCCAUGAAUUAAGGAUUAACUAUUUUCAUAAACAAUGAAUUAUUAGAUUUUUAAAUAUAAUAGGAUCCAAAACUAAAUCAACAAGUUUUCCUUUUGUAAAUAAAAUCUCCACAUUUUUUAUGUUUUUCUAACUUUUUUGUCAAAUGGCAAAAAACCUAUAAAAACUAAAACUAGAAUAAAAAUCAAAAGGUUAAAAUAAAAUAGAAAAUAAUAAAAAAUAAAUAUUGAUUGAACUCAAAAAACACAAUUUUGGGCUUUUUGAUCUUAUGCUUAAAGUUCAGUUUCACAAUUAAGACCCAAUUACAAUUUUGCACCCAAUUUUAAGAAUUCAAAACCCAUUUUAAUGCCAGAAAAAUUUUUGAACAAAAUAGGGUGUCUGCAGUACUUCUUUUUGUACAUUUUCCAUGAAAUAGGAAUUGUACAAAGACAAAAUAUAUCCAUUUUGUUCAAGUUAAGAAAAAUAAAAAAAGCUCCCCUUUAACAAAGGUUUUGAAACUUUAGAAAAUUUAAAAUGCUCUUUUCACUAAAGGCUUCAAAACUUUGAAAAUUUUAAAAUGCUUCCCUUACCAAAGGCUUCGAAAGUUUAAAAAAUUUUAAAAGCUCCCUUACUAAAGUCUUUAAAACUUUGAAAAACUUAAAAUUCUCCCUUCACUAAAGGCUUUAAAACCUCAACAAAAAUUUUGUAACUUUGAAAAUUUUAAAAUGCUCCAUUCACCAAAGGCUUUGAAACUUUAAAAAUAAAAUAACUUCUGUCACCAAAGGCUACGAAACUUUAAAAAUGAAAUAGCUACCCAAAGGUUUUUAAGAUCAUGCCUGAAGGUAUUUUAGAUCAUUAACAUCUUUGAAAAAGCUCCUCUAACCCGAAGCUUUGUAACUUUUUUAAAAAAUCAACAUAAUUCUUUCCAUGUAUCAACAUAGUUGGGCUUAAAUCUCACCAUGUGCCAACUAAUUUUAUUAUGUCAAACAUCUUCAACAUCUUUUCAAUCAAGAAUUAUCGAGUCCAAUAUUUUCAUGAAAACUCUUAAAAUUUUAGUUUCAAAUUCAAAAGUUAGAAUUAAAUUCAAUGAAUGCCAUGUAGUGAAAAGAUUUUCCAAAACUCCAAAUUCAAUCUCAAAAUUCAGACUUUAGCUUUUCCUCUUUUUCAAACAUGCAUAAUGAAUGCAAUGAAUGAAUAUAAUGAAUGCAAUGUUCUCAAAAUGAAUGAAUGCAAUGCAUGAAAUGCAAAAAUCAAGGUCAUGUAUCUCUAAUUAUGGUAAAUGGUUGUCAAGACUUUUUUCAUUUCUUCUUUCAUUUUCAUCUUCCCAUUAUGUUCUUCUUUAGGUUUUUAGAAUUGGCCAGCAAAUGUAUCAACUAAUUUGUGACCCAAAAUUUUCUUUCACUAGUUUCAUAAUUUGAUCAUAGCAUUUGGAAUGUUUCUUCUUUCAUGCCACAAGGAUUAACAUCUUUUUGAACUUCUUUCAUCUUUCUAAUUUCAUUUUCAUUAUAUUCCAAUCAUUUUCAACUAUCAUUUCAAAAUAAUGCAAGGAUCUUUUAUAUCAGUUAUUUAUUCAAUCGUUACCAUUCCAAUUUGAUAUCAAAUGUAAUCCAUCACAUCAAAUGUAAUCCAUCACAUUUUCUUAAUUCAUCAUGGGAAAUAAAUGGUGAAGAACAAGAAAAAUCAAAGAAAAGAUAUUCAUUAUAAGAACAAAUGGGAAAGAAAAUAUUUCAAAGUAAAUUACCAAAAUAAGGGCUUGGAAGGUUUCACAACAUGAACAUCUUCAAACAAUUCCAAACAAAUUAAUUUUGAAUUAUUUUUUCAAAGAAUCAUUCCAUUGAUAUUCUUGAUCUUUAAGCUCAUCAAUCCAAGCGUCAUCCAUACCCUAUGGGAUCCUUAAAUCUUGAAAGUUAAAGUUGUUUUUCAAGUCUUCAACUUUUUCUUUUUACUUAAAUCGUCCUUUCAGAUUUUCAAUUUAAGUUUUCCUUUUUUUUCCAUUGUUUUCCUUUUUUAAUCUUUUUCUUUUUGCACAUCUUUUUCUCAUCUUUUCCUUUUCAUUUUUUUCCCUUGAUCCAUUAAGGAUAUUUUGAUCAAAAUCACUACUAGAGGUUUAGGCAUUACCGAUAGAAUUUUAUCGACAGAAUUUUUUCAAUGCUAAUUAUCGAAGAAUUAUUGAUGGAAUUUAAAAAAAAAAAAAAAACACUUUCACUGAUGGAUUAUUGAUGGAAUAAAAUCCAUAAGUAAUCCGUCACUAAAAGUGUGGUGCUAAUUGCUACCAAUUUUACCGAUGAAAUCCGUCAUUAAAAGUUAUCGACUGUUUUACCAACGAAAAAGUCCAUUGGUAAACAAAUUUGAAAAAAAAUUUCCUUUGACAUUACUGAUGGAAAUUCCAUCUCUAAAAUCAUUGGUAAAAGUAUUUAAAUGUUUUUAGUAUUAUUGAUGCAAAUUCUAUUGGUAAAGCUAUAGCUAACGGCCAAAAAUUUCAAAUCCCUUCCCGGUUAGGCACCUUAUUUUUCCCCCAAAUUAUUUUCUAAUCCCUAAUUCCCUUUCCUCUUCCCUGUCCCACUUUCCCCCCUUCCCUUCCCUCUCUCCUUGCCACCUUGUCAUUCCCCAUCGCUGUUAGAGUGUGCUAGCCAACAUUGGUGUGCCCUAUUCCUCCAGUAAGUUUUUUUUAAUUAUUUUAUUUUAUGUUGUAUUUAAUGUAGUAUAUUUGUUGAGUUUAAGGUUUAGUUUUUUGUUAUAAAUUUGUUGAAAUUUGUUUGGGUUAUGGUUACCAAUAUGUUAAGUUUUUGCUAGUUAUUUAUUUGUGAAAAUUUAUUUGGGUUUUGGUUACCAAUUUGUUAAGUUUUUGUUAGUUUUAUAUUUGUUGAAAUUUGUUGUUAUUUGUUGGUUAUAUAUUUUUAUUGGAUUUUUUGUUGAGUAUCAAUGUUGAGCAUUGUUAAUUUUUGUUCGGAUUUACUUUUAGUAUUAUUGGUGAAUUUUUUUUAUUUGUUGAAUUAUUUAUUUUUUAUUUGUGAAAGUUUUGUUGAGAUUUGUUGGGUUUUGUUAUAGAUUUAUUAACUUUCAAAUGUGUAAGAUUUAGGAUUGGUUAAUUUGGGUUUGAUGUGUAUUAAGAUUUUUAUAUAUUUGUAUGGAUGUUUUAUAUUUAAUAUUUUCUAGAUUUUAAUAAUAAUUAUAGAAAUUAAAAUUAUUUAUGUUGAUUUGAGGUUAUAAUUAAUAUAUUACUAAUAGCUAUCUCAUUUUAAAGUAAUUUAUAUAUUAUUAAAAUUUAUAUUUGUUUUAAAAUAAUUUAUAUAUUUGAUAGUUUAGUGAAAUUUAUAUAUUACUAAUUAUUGAAAAAUUAUGAUUUUAUUGUGUUGAUCAAACUUAACAUAAAUAAGUUAAAUUGUUCUAUUUUAUUCUUCUUUCCGUAAUCUAUCCAUGAAUGUGUGUUACGAAAAUGUGUUUAGGUGGAUGUAUAUUUUGUAAUGAAUAUGAUUUUUCAUUCAUUUUCAUCAUACUAACUUGCUUUAUUUUUCAUUUCAACUCUCGUACGUAGAAGUGCCUUGAUCAGAUAAAUUUUCCACAAAAUUGAUAGAAUUACAGAUAGAAGGCCAAGAUCAAAAGUAAAAUUCUAUCAAUUAAACCAAUAAUAUUUUUUUAUGAAUGUGCUAUUGUUUAGUAUGUUUGAUGAAUUUUUACAAGAACUUUUAUGCCAUUUUAGACUAUUUGUUAAAAUAGACUAAUAAUUACCUCAUAUUAUCAUUUUAUAAUUAUUUUUAGUAUAGCAAUAAUACAAUGUUUAUUCGAUGUUCACAAUAUAUCUCAAGUAAAUAUAAUACUUUAUUACUUGUUUUAUCUAAAAUUAAAUAUAUUUUUCUAAUUUCAUUUAAUCUUGUAUUACUAAAGUAAUGUUAUAUAUAUUUGUUUUUUCUUGGGGUAUUGGAAUACUAAUGAAAUGUUUUUGUUCUAUAUGGAUCAGAUAACGGGACGUCAUGCAAAGAGUACUAUCUACCAAGGUGGUUUUAGGGCAAGAUCUCGUAAAGGUGAUUUAUGUAUCGAGUCAUCAUAAAAAAUGAUAUAGCAUAAUCUACCAUACGAGUCAGCAUCACCAUGUAGGUCAACUUCGCUUCGGAUAUAGUUUAAUUAACCAUAUUGUUCACCUCUAGAUGAUAGGUGAUCCAUCAAUGGGGUAGUACAUAAAUCUAAGAUUAGCCAAUGAUCCACCAAUUAAAGAAGAAGAAGGGAGGACAACAAGGUAAAGGGCUAGGGGGCAAAUAAAGGGUUAUCAACUCCUUCAAAUCUAGAGAAGUGGGUAUAGAUUACUCCGUAUGGAGACAAGUAUUAAUUGUUUUCUUAUUGUUAUUUGUUUGUUAACAAAUUUGUUUAGUUAAACUAAUCUUACUAACAAAUAGAUGUUGGUAGUUGUUUUAAGCAAUUGUUGGUUAGCUAAAAAAUUUAAAGAAUAAUUCAAGCGAAUUAUACUAAUCAUUGGCCAACAUGAGCUAAAGUACCUGCAUUAGUUAAGUCUAUCAUAUUUGAUAAAUUUAAGGUAGUAAAUGGAUAUUUAUUUUUUAUAUAUAUUUUUUAUUUGAAUUGAAAGUUCAAAUUAUUGUCAAUGACUUAUUGUAUUCCUAUUUAUUAUGUUAGGAAAAAUAUCAAUGGGCUGAAUCAGAUGACGAUCUUGGUCAACAAGUUUGGAACAAUAUUUCAAAAAAUUGAUUGAAAAAUUUAUUGUCCGACAAGAGAGAUUUGGUAAUGAAAGAACGUGGAGUUAAUAACAUUAUAGAGUGAAGAGGUAUGGAGUGGAGGUGGAUCACAACUCCGAUUUGGGAUGCUUUUGUUGACAAUGUAUGGAGCACUUCCUAAUGGCUAAACAUCUCUGCCAAAGCCAAACAAAAUUGUCAAACACAAAAAAAAAGUAUUACGAAGCACAUUGGAGGCUAAACUGCUUUUCCUAAUCAUAAAAAAAGAAUGGUACUAUCUUAUUUCAUGAGCUAUUUUUAUCAUCAAAUGUCAAUAAAUUAUAUAAAUUGUAUUAUUACAUGUUUCAUUGAAUAUAUCUAAACAAAUAUAAUCACUUGAGUUGCAACGAGAACCCAUAUUUACAAAACUUUUUAAUUAAACUUAUAAACGAUUAGGAGGAUGCGAUGAAUUUGUUGACAACAAGUCCAGAGUUGUCAGUGUAUGUGACUUUCAAAUGAUUGAAUAAUGAUGAAAUUGUUGCCUUACUUUAUUGAAAUAGAAAAUAUCUUGUGUGUUUUGUAAUGCAAAGACUUUGUGAAACUAUGAAAACUAUUGUGUAAUUUGCUUUGCGCUUCUAGUUGCGUAUUGUGAUUGUUGCUUAACUAUUUUUAUAGUAUAUUGUAAUGAGAAGAUAUUUGCAAAAUGUGAAAACUAUUGCAUUUUUUGAAUUGUGAUGAUGGUUGUGUAUUGUGAUUGUUGAUCAAGUAUUACCUUUUUUGCAUUCUAAUGAUGGUUGUGUAUUAUGAUUAUUGAUGAACUAUAUAUGUUAAAAUAUAUUUUGAUAACUACUUAUUUGUAAAAGAUUUCUACGUAUUAUCUAGAUGAGAUCACAUUUGUGAAAGGUGAAAAUUAUUGCAUAUUUUCGUUUAUGAUUCUAUUUAUGUAUUGUGAUUGUUGAUGGAGUAUACCAUAAAGAAAUUGAAAGCAAAGACAUUGUAGGAAAUCUUGUAUUGAACUAGAUAGUUUGGUGUAUAUUGAAAUGCAAUGAAUUUGUCAAAUGUGAAAAUUACAUUUGAAAUUUGUGAAUUGUUAGAGGUUGAUAUUUUAGUGAAUUAUAUAGAUCCUAUAGUAAUGAUUAUUGCUUUAAACUUUUUGUAGGAAAAUUAUGCUGCUACAUUAUCUAAGAAAUACAGUGAAAAUUGUUCCAAUCAUCUAGAUUUUGAUCUACAAGCAUGGAUUGAAGCUAUUGGAAGGAUUGAAGCUAUUGGAAAGGUUGAAGCUACAUAAGCUCAUGUGUUUGGCUUUGGAUCGACACAUAAAUCUAGGGGCAUCCUUCAUUCAACUCAAUCUACUUCUGUAAUAGAUUAUCUAACUCUAUUUGUGUUUCAUCACCUGUGCCUUUUCAGGCUCGUCAGCCUCAAAUAGAAUAAGGAAUUGAUGAGUUAAAGACUGAACUAAGAGUUAAGCUAGCAGCUGAGCUUAGGUCAUUCAUGGAGCAAAUGAUGCAAUUAAUGGGGUGUAGAUAGACUCUACCAUCACAAUAUUCUAGACAUGAUGAUGACACCGAAGAUUUUGGAUUAUGAGGUGUAACAAUAUCACAAUGAAAUUUUUUGUUGGAUUUGUAUAAGGUAUUUGGUGGAUGGAUGCUAUGGAUGUUUUAUGAAUUGAUAGGUUAUGAUGUUUUAUAGAUGUUAUGGAUAUUUGAUGGAUGUUUGAUGGAUAUUUGAUGAUGUAUUUGAUGAAUGUUAUUUGGAUUUGAUAUUUAAUUAAUAAUACUAGCAUAUUUAAAUAAUUACACAUGUUUAAAUUGUAAUUUAUAGGGUUCAAAAAUAAUUAUAGGCUUUUUAAUAAUUAUAAAAUGUUUUUAUUUAACUUAUUAAUGAAUUUGUACUUUUACCAAUGGAAUUUACUAACGAAAAUUUACUAUUAUAGAUAGAAUUUUUAUUGUUACUAAUAGAUUUAUCGAUGAAAAAAAAUCCUUUUCUGAUCAUUUUCAUGGAUAUUACUAAUGGAUUUGCUAAUGAAAUUUUUAUUAUUAUCAAUGGAUUUUUAUUAUUAUUGAUAGAAUUUUAUUAUUACUGACAGAUUUAUUGAUGAAAAAAACCCAUUAUCCAUGAAUCUACUGACAAAAAAUUUCAUAGCAAAUUACUGAAGAAAAAUUUCAUAGUUAAAACUGUUGCUAGUAAAUUUGUCAGUAAUUACCAAUGGAUUCUAAGCAUUACUGACACAGCUAGGCAUUGAUGAAAUUUUUUUGUAGGUAAAACUACCACCAAAAGUAUUACUGAUAGAUUUAAAGCUUUUAUCGAUCGAAAAUUCUAUCAAUAAAGCUUAAUUUUCUUAUAGUGAAUCCCAAACAUCUCAUUACAAGUCUGCCUUAAUUCAAUUCAUGAUUCUCCAAUUAUGUAUUCACAUUUUAUCAAAAUAGACCUUUAAGGUACGUAACAUAAAUUAAGGUGAAAGGUUAUAAAAAAAGGGAUAAAAUAUGCCCAAAAUGUAUUUGAAAGGUUAUAAACUGAAGGAUUAUUUCUCAUCAUAGAGAGCAUCUUGGCAUUUUGCCCCAUCCAUUUUCUUUUUUUUUUUUCAUUUUUUCUAUCUUUGCUUCAUUUUUUAUUUUUGCAUUUUUCAUCAUUUUUCAAGAAAGAUUAGGGACUUUCAUUUUCUUUUAUUGUGAACAAAAUUUUUCAAAAUUUGCCUCCCAAUGCGAAAGGUGAUCUUUGGUUAGGAUUUCUUCAUAAGAAAAUUAAUAGGCUGAAAGGGGUAACAAAUAGAUAUUUUCAUUUUGCGAAAGAAGAAGCAAGAUGAUCAUUUCUCAUUUCAAACAUGAAUACUCUCAAUUAAAACCUUUUAUUGACUAAGAGCAAACUUAUAAAUUACCUUUAUCUUUUAAUGGGUGAAACACCUUGCUAGAUUGACUCAUUUGAUAAAAUUUGCCUCAUUUUACUUCAGUUAUCACAAUAGAUUAAGAGUUUCAAAUUACCAAUAUAAAUGAUGCUUUUGAAAUUGAAUCUUGAAUUAUUAUCAUGAAUGUUUGAAUAUUCAUUAUUUGGAAUAUGGGAAUGGGUAAAAUAUGAAAGAAUAUAUAAAGGCAAUAGAAGAAAAGAGGAAAAGUAAUGAGAAUGCAUCUUACAUUUUAUUAAAAUUAUGAUAGAUAAAUAAAAGACUAACAUAAAAGAACUUUCAAAUAUUCAUAAGUAUUUAAAAAUUUACGUUAUUUCCUAAAAUUCUUAAAUUGAUAGGCAUUCAUAAAAGUUUUCUCAAAAUUAUGCCUCUGUGUGGUUAGACAAAAGGUUUCCAAUGACACUAAUCCUUGCUUCUUGAUCAAAAUUCAUUAAACUAACUUUGAUCAAACUUUGCACUUUAUACUUCAAUGCCUACAAUUUUUGGUAGAAUGGCCUACAAUCCCAGAAUGAUAGUCACAAGUAGCUUUAGCAUUAUAUCACUUGGGGUAAGGAGGCUUCGAAGGCUUUAAAUAUAUUGAUGCAAUCAAGUGGCUCUUAAUGAGUUAAGGGAGUAAUUUAGUGUAUGUUAUAGGGAUUGGAUCUAUGAGAGCUUCUUUUUUUUUCACCCAGUUUUUGGGUUAAGUAGUUGGCUAAUUUAUAGGUGAAAAGUUAGGUAUAGGUGCUUGAAAUUUUGGUUAAUAAGCAUAGGGACUUUGAGAGAUGUUGUUUAUGGCUAGGUAAUAAGGUUGAAAUAUUGAAUAAGGAUAAUAUAGGGUAUAGCCUCUAAAAUGUUGCCUUUCAUGAAUUAUAGUUUAUGUAUCUCUUUUUUUCUUUUUCGAUAUCACCUUUUUCUUUGCAUUAGUUACAUCACCACCUUUAAGUUUGUGGCUCUUGAUUGCAUUCUGUAUUAUUUCCCUAGAAAUUAACAUAUCAGCAAAAUUUUUAGUCGUAUUUCCUAUCAUUCUUUUAUAGUAUAGGGCUUUAAAAGUAUUAACAAAUAGAACUAUAGUCUCUUUUUCAAUGAGUGGUGGUUAAACUUGGGCAACAACAUUCUUCUACCUCUGGACGUAUUUUUUGAAAAUCUCAGUAUCUUUUUCUCCAUGCUUUGUAAGGAUAGAUAAUCUGGUGCCAAAUCUAUGAUGUACUUGUAUUGGGUAAUGAAAACCCUUAUGAAUUCUCUCCAACAACAUAUAUAAGUCCUAUUAAGUUGUACAUACCACAUAAUAGCAAAACCAAUAAGACUGUCUUAGAAGACAUGAAAGAGUAGCUUCUUAUCAGAUGUAUGUGUAGCCAUUUUAAGGUAGUAUAUUAUGACAUGUGUUAUGAGGCACUUAGUUUCAUCAUAUUUCUCGAAUUCAAGAACCUUGAAUUUUGGUGAAACACCACACCAAGAACUAAGCAUAGUCUAACAUCAUCCAUUGAUCCAUAAAAAUCUAUCUACUUAAUAGCCCUAAGCCUUUUUUCUAUGAGGUCCAUCUUUUAUUAUGAACCAGAGUCUUUUUUUGUUUUUAUUAUGCUUAUUUUUAGUUUCUUGUGUUCUUUUGGAUCAUCAAGAUUGGGAUUUUGGUUCGAUUAAAUGCUUUGAAAUUAGGAAUAGAAGUGAUGUGUCCUUGAAAAUGAGUAGAAGUAGUUAUUGAAAGCAUAUCGAUAUGCAUAUAGGGAUAACCUCCACUAAAUGGCAUUUGAUAUUAGGCCCCUUGAGAUGUUAGUGCUAAGUAUGGGCUAAAACAAGGGUGAUAUAAUGGAUUACUUUCAUUUUGGACAACCAUGUCUUCCACACCUUUUUACCCCCUUACUCAAAUUUUUUAGCAACAUAGUGAUGGUUUUUAGUAAUCCUUUUAGCUCAUCCCAUGCCUUUUUUAAUUUUUGGAACAGAAAGUAUACUCUUCUUCUAUGAUCCUUGCUUGAUAUCAAGUGCUAUAGCGCCUCAAAUUGUUUGAAGAUUAAGCUAUCCUUGAACUUUGAUUUACCACAAUCUUUAAGAUAUUAUGAAAUCAUCCUAACUUUAGUUGUAUAUGAGAAUGAAUGAAUGAAUGUGAUAAAGAGGAUUUACCACAUAAUAAUUGUUAACAAGAAAAAUCUUUAUUGAAUUAAAAGUUAUUUUUAACCAAAUCCAAAAUUCAUCUAUAGGAAGUCCAAAGUUUAUUGUGGAAAGAAAUCCCUAAUUUGUUGAUAUUGGCCUUGUACUUUAUUAAGAAAAUUUAGUAGUCUUUGGCCAAGUGUUCCAACUGGUGGCACCCUUAUUUUCCACUCCUCGAUCUCUUCUACCAUGUUGUUGGCUUUAUAAGUAGCCACAAUGAUAUGAUCAAGCAAACAUUCCAAUUGAUCACAGUUCCUUAUAUAUUCCACUUUUGCUUGCUCACAUUCCUUAGUCACAACUCUCAUUUGUGUUCCAAUUUCAACAAUAACCCCAUUUAGCAUUUGGAUAUGCUUUUGUGUCGCGGAGAGUACCUUUCCAUUUUCUUGGACCUUUACAUGUAACUAUCCAUUUUUUUUAGAAGUUAGGCCAACUCACGAGUGUUGGAUGAUUAUGUUAUAUUAAGGUCAAAGAACAGACUCUUUCAUUCAUCCUUUUUUUUUUAAGAGCUUGAACCUUCCUUUUAAGCCUUUUAUUUGUAAGCUUUAACUCCUUGGACUUCCCUUUCAGGCCAAUAAGUGACUUUACUAGUCUUUUCAUGAAUGUAAUUAGGAUUCUUUUUGUUAAAAUUGUUUUCUGGCAAUCGCGUUUUAUGAUAAAUUUGAUGAUAUAAAUGCAAGUACAUAUAAUAAAGGAAAAAGGUUAGUAAAAACAAUAUAUAUAAGGAGCAAUAUAUAAUUUUACAAGUAAAAUAGUAAAAAAUGUCCCUUCAUGUGCCAUAUUUAGAAUUUCCUAACAAAGAGAAAGGUAAGACUCUAACUUAGGUUUAAAUUCUUAGGGUUUAUUUGCAUGCAGGGUUCAAAGGUUUGAAAAUUUAAAGGCUCCCAAAUUGUUCCUUACAUCAUUAUCCAAUAUAAACUAGUAAGGCAUCUCAAUCCUCGCUCACCAUAAUAAGCUCAAAUAGAAAGGGUUAAAUGGAAGAAGGCACUCCAAUUCUCACCUACCAUAAUAAGCUCAAACAAAAAGGGUUAAAUAUGAGUAAAAGUUUUCAUUAACUCACAUAGAGGUUAUCACUUCACAAGAGUAUAGGUACUUGCUCCCUCAUAAGAAAGGACAAAACUCAGGUCUAGAGCUUAUGCAUGAUGCAUGUGUAAUGUGUAUGAAGGAACAUGCUAAUGCAAAUAAUCAAAUAAAUUAGUACACAUGAAAAAUCAAAAUAACAAAUAAACUAGUACACAUAAAAAAUCAUAGGCUACAAAAUAAACAAAUAAGUUAGUGCACAUGAUGAAUCAUAAUAAAAACCAUCAAAACAAGGCUUAAGAUAACAUAUGACUAACUAAUGGCUUAACUCUCUAAUAUCUCCAGUAAAGUCACCAAAUAGUCAUAACGUUCAAGUUCAAGAACUUACCCACUAAAUAUAAAAAAUAUGGAGUUGCCACCAAUCUUUUUUAUAUAUGUGUGAUUGGCCACCUAUAUGAAUCUAUCCCAUUUAAGGUUAUUCUAAGCUUGACUAAAGGUUUCUAAAAAGAAUAGGUUCUGGUUUAGAUCAACAAAACUAGAUUUGGAAGUCAGUUAUGUGCAGAGAAGGUUUUAGCACCCCCCACAAUGUCCAAAAUUGUUACAAAGUUAAUUAUAUAUUAUCUUGUAAAAGCCUUAAUCAAAGAUGAUUUUUUAUUAGUUUCGAUAUUUAAAUAUUGGAAAAAAGCCUUUAAGCUUUCACCAAAAAAGAAAUUUUCUUCACCUCGAGAAUAUUUAAAAUAAACUUAUUAUUUACUUGAAGAGGCUUUGUCGUCAAAUUCAUUAGCUAUUUUAUCAAAAAUCAAUCUUUUAUUUAUUUACAAAACAAUGUUAUACAAAAAAUUCUUGUAAAAAUAUCAUGCAAUAAUAUCAUAAUUAAAACAUGCAAAUAAAUCAUACAAAUAUCAUAAUAAAAAUCAUGCCAAAAUAUAGAAAUCACACCAAGAAUCAAACAAGAUAUAUCAUGCAAUAAAUAUAAUAAAAAAAUCAUGCAAUAAUAUUAAAUAAAUCAUAUUCAUGCAAAUAAAAUAUUAGAUAAUGAAUCAUACAAAUUCAUGCAAAAUAUUAAGAAAAUAUAUAUUCAUCCAAAAAUAUCAUAAUAAAAGCAUACAAUUAAAUAUUAUAAAAAUUAUGCAAAAAAAAUGUAAAAAAAACUAGAAAAACCUUACCAAAGUUUUUUAUUUUUUAUUUUUUUCUUCACUUUUAACUUAAUUACAAUUAAAAAUAAUAAAUAAUUAAAUAAAAACAAAAUAAAAGAAAAAAAGUUGAAAAUAAAACCAAACAACAAGAAAGAAAAAAUAAAAAGAAAAAAAAAACCUGCAAUUUGGGUCUAGUCAUUUGCGAGUUAACAUGUGGAUCUCUUCGGGUCAAAGCAUGGAUCCUAACUCUUCAAAACAAUGUCAUUUGGUCCUUGUAUAAAAAUAAAAAAAAUAAAAUUUUUUUCAUAACCGUUCUCCUUUUGUCUCUAGCUUAGAAAUCUUCUAACUUCUCUUUAAAAAUCCCACCAUGAAAAUCAAUUGGUAGGCCAAAAAAACCAAGAAUUCAAUGACUUUCCCAGAAUAUGGUCGUUGGAAAUUCAAGCCCUACCUGAAAAUUCAAAGAAUCCAGAAACUAGCCAUUGUAAAACCCAUCGUCCACCGUGAAAUUCAACCAAAACAUUCAACUUCCACUGAAAAUUUUAAGAAAACAUCGAAAUUCUAGAAAUUUAAACAAACAAAACCCAUAAAUUCAACCAAAAUUCUAGAAAAAUCCAAUAAUUCCAAAGUCCCUGAAACAAAAAAAAAAAAACAAAAAACAAAAAUUUCCCAAAAUCAAACCAAAAAACCCAAAAGCUCAAAAAUUAGAACUGAUCGCAAAAUCACCAAACAGUUUUAAGAACUUAAAAUUCAAAACCAAAGCCUAAAAAAUCUUAAGCCUUAGCUUUUGUGAUUGCUUGUUAAUUGCUUCUAAUUGCUUAUUGUUGGUGAUCGCAAAUUUCAGUUCUUUUUAUAAGGAUGAAUUGCACUUCAAAUUGGAAAAUUUCUAGAUUCCAAGGAAUCUACCAAAAUUUUCAAGAUUUUAUUUUUUUGUGAUUUUCCUUUUUUCCAUGAAUUGGGGACCAAGUAUUUCCAUAAAUAAUGGAUUAUUGGAUUUCCAAUUUUAACAGGAUACAAAACCAAAUCAACAAGUCUUCCUUUUAGAAAUAAAUCCUCACGUUUUUUUUCUAUUUUUCUACCUUUUUUUUUUGUCACAUUGCAGAAACCCAUAAAAACUAACACUAAAAUCAAAGUCAAAAGGUUAAAAUAAAUAAAAAAUACUAAAAAUAAAUUGGAUUGAAAUUUAAAAACACAAUUUUGGACUUUUUGAUCUUGGGCCUAAAGUUUAGUUUCACAGUUAAAACCUAAUUGCAAUUUUUUUAUCCACUUUCAAGAAUUCAAAGCUCAUUUUAAUACCAAAAAAAAUUUCAGACAAAAUGAGAUGUUUACACUUAUCUUGUGUAUUUUGAAUUUAUGAUCAUUCAAUUUUAGUUGUGAUUAAUGACAAUUAAACUAUUAAAGGAUAACUUGAUUACUUAGCCACAUAUUUAAUUAAAUAAUUUUUUUUGAAAAAAAAUUAAAUUUGAAUUUUGGAAUUGUAGAAUAUAUACAUGCAUCCAUAAUAUAAACAAAUAAAAGUGCUAUAGUUUUUUUUAUAUAUAUAAAAUUUGUCACUAUACUAUAUGAUUCAAUAUUUAAUUUUAUUGAAUUUUAUUACUACAUUUUCAAUUUUGUUGAUUUUUGGAUAAAAAUCAUAAAAUUAAAAAUUGUAAUAGUGUAUAAUAAUAAUGCAAAUGACAAAGUUUGUCAUUGUAAUUUGAAUUUCAUUGAUUUUAUGGAUAAAAAUAAAAUAUUUCACAAAACUCUAUCAAAGCUAAAUGAUAAAUUUCUAUAAAUUUCAUUUACUUUACAUACCUCAAUAAUUAUACGAAAAAAAAUAUGAAUUAAUAGAAUUUUAGAUAGCAUGACAAUUAGCCUUAGAUAGAUAAUAGAUUUAUCAUAAUAAUAAAUUUGUAUUUGGAAAAUUCUUCUAAAAAUAAAAAGGGAUUAAACUUUGCUUAUAGGAGGAAUUAAGGUUUUUUUUUAAUGUUAGGAAUGAAGGUUUGAACCUAGUUUUCUGAAGAAAGAAAAAACAUUAAAUCAAAUAUUUGGAUGCAAAGGCAAUUAUCAUUGGACAAAUAAAUGAUGUAAUACAUGAAAAAUGAAUUUAAGUAGUAUAAUUACUCUUAAUUUUUUUUUGUAAUAAUAUUUGAAUGGUCAUGGAAACAAGGAAGAAAACCCUAAAAAAAAUUUAAAGUUAAUAAUGAAAGAGUGAUGAGAAGCAUUUAUUUAAACUGUCAUAUAAAAACAAGAUUUUUUUUUUAUUAAGACAAGAUUUUUAAAGAAGAAGAGUCUUUUAUUUUUUUCCCCAAAAUGGUGUGCAUAAAAACUGCAUAAAUUCUUGAAUUUAGUGUUAUAGUAGGUAUAAUUCCUAUAUAGGCACAAAAAAAAAGUCCUAUAGCUAAGAAAACUCCACAUUUCAUUUAUUUCAUUGAAACUGGAAUUGAAAUUAGGGUUUAUAUUCCCUAUUACAUGCUAUUCACCUUUCUUAAUAAUAAUAAUAAACCUAAAUCUUUGUUCAAAAUAAAUAAACACAUAAAAAAGAAGUAACUAGCAAACUAUGGUGAGAAAAAAUUUAAAAAAAUCAAAAAGUGAUUCAAAGUUAUAGUAUUCAGUUUAGAUCAAAACGGUUUUUUUUAUUCAGUUCGGAUUAAGUUCGAAUAUUAAGUUCAGAUUUAGAUUUCAGAUUGAUAAGUGAAAAGUUAAAAAAAAAAAAAAAGGAACCAAAUUGAAUUGUAUAUUUUUAUCAGCUUUUAUAUAUAUUUUUUAAAUUUUUAUAAAAUAAAAUAAUUAUUUUAUACCUAAAUCUAUUUAAAUAUAUUAAAAAUUAUAUUAAAAUAACAUACAAAAUAAAAAAAAAUUAAAUUUAAAACUAAUGAAUUGAAUUGAACCGAAUCGGUAAAAUUCGAUGCGGAUCAGAUCAAAUUGUAUGAAAGUUCAAUUCAGAUUCGAAUCUGAUUUUAAAAAGUCAUAAUUUUAUGUAUUAUUUGAAAAACUGAACCGAAUUCGAUAUGAUCUAAACCAUUAUCACCCAUAUACGUGGUUCUUAAACUUAAGACCAAAUUCUAUUUUGAUUUCCAAACUUCAAAAGUUCUAACUGUAUCCUAAAUUAGCCAAACGUGUACCAAUUUAUUUUCUCUGAAUCCUAAAUUAGCCAAACGUGUACCAAUGCAUUUUCUUCAUUAAUGAAACAAGCUAAUUUGAUGGAAAAUGUUUAAGUGGAAUUUUAAAAAAAUUUUAAAUAUGUGAAGUUAAAAAAUAUAUAUGUGAAUUUAAAAAAAUCUCAUUUUUUUUUUCAUUUUUUCCUUUCCUUUCUUUUGUUUUCUUUCUUUUUUCAUUCUCCGUUCUCUCUCUUAACUCAAACCCUAUCUUACUAAAAAACAAAACCCUUAAUUCUCUAAUCACCUAAAAUUACAAAAAUAAUGAUUGACCAUCGCCCUCCAUCGUUAGCUACAGUUUUCAGUGCCAAUUUGCUUCCAAAAUUCACCCAAAGAUUCCGCUUUUCCUCCUCUUCCUCCUCUUCCUAUUUAUCCAAAUGGUUUUCUCGAAAACAACCCCUAAUCACUAAGAUCUAUAAACAAAAACCAUGACUUCAACCCAAAAAAAUCACCUUCCACCACUUUAUAUUUCCUAAAAUUUUAGUAUAUUAUUCCCCUCCCUUGCUAUUCCUUUUCUCCAACUUUCAAGCGAAAAAUAUCUUCCAAACUAUAAAACCUAAAAUCUAUUUUCCUAAGCUAUUUUUAUGUUGUGGCAUUUUGUACUUUUUAUGAUUGUUUUAUUGCUUAAAAAAAUUAUGGUUAGGUUUUUCUUAUGCUAUCAAUUGUUUUGUUUUCUUUUGUUGAUUUCUUUUGUUAAAUAAGGUUAGUCUUGGCCAGAUAGAUGCAAAUGUUAUUUGAUUGAGGGGGGUUUGGUGGUGUCUAUUUUUCGAGUAAGCUACAGUGGAGGCAGUAGGUGAUGGCUUAAGGAAAUGAAGGUUGGUGUGAUAGACAAUGGUGAUAAUAAAGAUAAAGUUGUUGCUAGGCUAGUUUUGGUGGAAUGCAACAAAGCUUGGGAUCUAUUGAUGGUUUUGCUGGUUUCUUUCUUACCAUGUAUGUGUUUUUGUGGUGUUUGAUUGGUGGUUGUCUAGGUUGAAUUGGUUGAGGUAUUGGGCAUGACAAUGGUUUGAGUUUUGCAGUGUUGGUGGGUAGUGGCAUCUAUGGUAGAGUGUGUUGGUAAUGGGUCCUUGGGUCAAGUUUGAAUGCUAUGGUGAUGGUUUUUGGAGGGCUUGAGUCUAAAGGUUGCUUUUUUGUUUUUUAAUUUUGCAUAUUUAAUUUUUAAAAAAAAUUUUAUUUAUUUAACAAGUGUCAUGUCACCUAAAUUUUUUGUAAAAUAAGACGAUUUCGCUAAUGAAAGAACUAUAUUGAAACAUAUUUGGACAAUUGAAAACUUGAUUAAAAUUUUUUGAAAUUUAGAAACCAAAAUAAAAUUUGACCUAAAAUUUAAAAGAUCACUUGAGCUAUUUACUAAAAAAAAAAAAAAAUUUGAAUCUUGAUGUUUCAAUAACUUCAAAAACUUAAUUUACUUAAAUAUCCUUUUUAUUUUUAAUUUUGCAAACAAAAAAAAAAAGUACUUUGUGUUAACUUUUAUAGCACAAUUUCUUUUAUAUGUUCAAGGCUAAAUCUAUUGAAAUAAAUCAAACCAUAAAUCUCAAUCUCUUAAUUUUUUAAAAAGGGAUAAUAACUAAUUAAUUAUAUCAAACUUGAAUUGUUAAUUUUGAAAAGUAGUCUUUAUAAGUUAUCGAGUUUGGAUGAAUUGAAUUACAUCCACCAAAAUUUGAUUCUAAUUUCUAUCCAUGAAAGUUUACGCAUCAACUCAUAAAAGUAUAAAACCAUUGUGACGCUUUUUUUUUUUUUUUCCGAAUCAAUCUAUCAAGUAAUUUAAACAGAUCUUAGCAAUGGAAAUUCUUGCUCUUAUUUAUUAUGGUAGGUUGCAACCAAUUUGCUUCAAUUCAUAAAUGGCUUACCCCCUAAUAACAUGACCUACAUCUAACCUGUUUAAUUCAACAGCGGAUCCCACUGCAAAUGUCUCUUUAGUAAGAUAAGUUUAUGCAAAUUUUUUCUUCAAACAAUUAUGAAAUCCCCAAAUAUUUUGUCAAAACUUUUCGAAUGUCGCCAUCCUCCCGUAGGACCCCUUCUUGACCACAAGCUGAGUGUACCACAGUCUCACCCAACAAGUUGAAAAUUAUGAAAAAGGAGAAAGCAAAAAAGCUUUAGCCGAUAUUAUCAUUUUACAUAAAAAACCAUGGGUAUUCUCUAUAAUUAAUUACUAAGAUUUUGGGGCUUAAAAAACCAAACAUCGACAAUUUUCAUGUUUGCUAAUAAAAUUUUCCUUUUAAAAUAUUGGCUCCAAUGAUUAAAGGACGCGCCAUACGGAUUCAAUGGGAUCCAUGUUAGGGGCAUUUUAGAUAUUUUAUAGAAAAAUAUAGCCAACCGCCUCUGAAACUCUAAAAAUAUAAAGAAAAACAAAAAAAAAAAAAGAAGAAAAGUUCAUCUUCACGUUUCAUUAUUUUUUAUUUACAUCAAUAAUUUUAUACAACGAAUGAUAAUCCAACAUAAAAAUAUAUGAAAAUUAUAAAUUUGAUACAAUUAAAAUUUUGAUAAAAAUUAUAUAUAAAUUUAAUAAAAAUAAAAAAUAUAUUUCAUAUGUAAUAUAUUGAAAUAAAUUAUAAUACAAUUUUCUAUAUUUCAUAAAUAUUUAAUACAACAUAAAUAAAAUAAAAAUACACAAAUUAUUAAAUUUACCUUAAAAAAAAUAAAUGUGUAUAAAGCUGAAGAAGACGGGCCGGCUUUUUAACUAAAAUAGCUGGACAGACAAAAGCCAACUAAUUACCAUCGUCUCUAGCGCAGCUGUUGAUAAAAUUCUGUAAUAUUUAUUUAUUUUUUCUGUAUUAUAUAUCUUUCUGUGCCACCUUCUAAUUAUUACUGAGAGAAAAGAGAACGCCCCGCUCCGCUUUGCUGUCCUUUCUUUUUAACCAACAAACCCUUUCAAAAAUAAUAAUGAUUCAAAAAAUUGUAAAAACCCUGAAGAUUCCACUGCUAAAAAGAAAAACAAAAUUUCUAUUUUUUUAAAUAAAAAAACCUUCUUCUUGAGAUUGACAAGCAGAUCUCUCAAACGAAAAUAAAUUAAUAAAUUCACCCAUAUACAAACCAUCUUCAAUAAAAACCCUUUUGAAGGAAAAAAUAAUUCACCACCCUCUUUUCUCUGUUAAUAGGUAGGAUCAUAGGAAUAGAGACAUACAAAGUUGAAACAAAAUUUUUUUCCGUAUUUGUUAAUUUUAAUUUUUCCCUUCUUUUCAUUGAAAGCUGUAAGUAAAUUGCAAGCCCUUGCCAAGAGGGGGCCAAGGAAGAGAAAGAAAGAAGAAGCUUGUCGUAUCUAAAAAAUCAUAUAUGCUGGGUGGAAGUGACACCACCGGUGGCGCCGUCGCUGCUGCUACUGCCAUGGUUACCCGCAGCGGAGCUCGAGAUGGAAGCAGUGAAGCUGCUGCUGCCGCCAUGCUUGGCUCCAACGGCAAUAAUAACAAUUCGGGUGAAGAUGAUAGAGGGAGGGUUGAUGAAGGUGACCGUUCUUUGGGAGGCAACAGAUGGCCGAGGCAGGAGACUUUGGCACUCUUGAAAAUAAGGUCCGACAUGGAUGUUACCUUUCGUGACGCUAGCGUUAAGGGUCCAUUAUGGGAAGAGGUUUCCAGGUGAUUAUUAUUAUUAUUAUUAUUAUUAUUAUUAUUUUACUUUCCUUUUUGUUUCUUUUUAUAUAAUCUUUUUGUUGAUAAUUCAAUGAAAAUUUGAGUUCGUUUAAAGUUCUUGAGUGGAGAUCUGUUUUUUCGAAUUGUUUACUUUCAGGUUUAUACUUACGGGAAAGCAUAAGAUUGAGAGAAUUAUAUUCUUUUGUUUGAUAUUUUGUAAGAGGAAAAUUAUAGUUCAAGUUGAGGGAAUUCAGCAUCUUCAAGGGGAAAUUCAAUGUCAUAUGAUUAGGGAUUUCUUACCAUUUCUGGCAUUUGCUUUUCCCAAUUUUUCACAGGGAAUCUUAACCUGAAUUUUGGCUCAUAAAUUUUACUUCAUGUCUCCCCCCCAACUCAUUUCUUCACUCUCAUUUUGUCAAACUCUCUCUCAAAAAAAAAAAAAAAAUUGAAUCUUGGGUGGGGAAAACUGUGUUCAUCAGCACCAAUUCGUGGUUUACUUUGUCUUGAAUUCUAUAGUGCUUUUUGUCUUGAGCUCUUUCAUUUCCUUUUUCAUUUUUACUUCUUUUGCUUCUCAAAUUUCUGUUUGUCUUAAUUAUAUAUCAAAUUCAAUUCAUAGUUUAUUUUAUGUGCGAAUACUGUUUUGGUCUGUUUUGUUGUUGGAUUAUUGAUAGGAUAAAAACAGAAAUGGAGUUGUUUUUUCUACUGUUGAUAUCAGGAAACUAGCAGAGCUCGGUUAUCAUCGAAGGGCCAAGAAAUGCAAGGAGAAAUUCGAGAACGUUUACAAGUAUCAUAAGAGAACCAAAGAUGGCCGAACUGCUAAAUCAUAUGGCAAGACUUAUCGGUUUUUCGAUCAAUUAGAAGCCCUCGAAAAUAAUCCUUACAUUCGAUCGCCAGUAGCAGCACCACUACCACCAACGCAACUAAAGCCUCAAGGUCAGCCAGCAGCUAAUCCUCCGAGUCUGACCCAUGUCACUGUUCCAUCAACAACACUCUCCAAUUUGCCACAGAACGUUGUACCACCAAAUAUAAACCAUACAGCCCCUUCCUGCCCAUCAACAAACCCUACAAUUCAACCCCCACCACCGACAACAAACCCUACAAUUCCUUCUUUUCCUACCAUUUCAGCAGAUCAAAUGUCGAAUUCGACCUCCUCAUCGACCUCAUCAGAUUUAGAAUUAGAAGGUCGGAGGAAGAGGAAAAGAAAAUGGAAGAAUUUUUUUGAGAGGCUAAUGAAGGAGGUGAUUCGGAAGCAGAAGGGGAUGCAGAAGAAAUUCUUGGAAGCAAUAGAGAAAUGUGAGCACGAAAGAAUGGUCCGUGAAGAAGCUUGGAGGAUGCAGGAAAUGGCAAGAAUAAAUAAAGAACGCGAGAUAUUAGCCCAAGAAAGAUCAAUGGCAACGGCAAAGGAUGAUGCAGUAAUGGCGUUCUUGCAAAAAUUAUCUGAGCAGCAAAAUCCAGGGCAUGCACAAACUAAUGCAAUACCGUCUCAGCAACCGCAACCGCCUGCACCACAGCCAGUAUUGGCAGUGGCACCGGCAGUGGCCCCAGUAGCGCAGCCAGUAGCUGCAGCAGUGUCAGCGCCUGCUCCACCACUAGUACCGCUGCCAGUGGUGAAUUUAGAUGUGUCAAAGACUGAUAAUGGCGAUCAAAGUCACACACCAAGCUCUUCAAGAUGGCCUAAAGUUGAGACUGAAGCAUUGAUUAAGCUAAGGACUAGUCUUGACUCUAAAUACCAAGAUGGUGGUCCCAAAGGACCAUUAUGGGAGGAGAUAUCAUCUGCAAUGAAAAAGCUUGGUUACAAUCGCAACGCCAAAAAAUGCAAAGAGAAAUGGGAGAACAUAAACAAGUACUUCAAGAAGGUUAAAGAAAGCAACAAGAAAAGGCCCGAGGAUUCAAAGACAUGUCCCUACUUUCACCAACUUGACGCUUUAUAUAGAGAAAAGAACAAACAUGAUUGCUCCUCCAAUCAAUUAAAACCCGAAAACUCAGUCCCAUUGAUGGUACGCCCAGAGCAGCAAUGGCCCCCUCCUCCUCCGGAGCCCAAUCACCACGAACAGGAUCAUGUAAUGGAAGACAUGGAAAGCGAUCAAAAUCAAGACGAAGACGACAAGGAGGGCGAUGUUGAGGAGGAAGAUGAAGGGGAUGGCUAUGAAAUUAUAGUCAGCAAACCGGUUUCAAUGGGCACAGGUGGGUGAUAUCAGUGUCAGAAACAAACCAGCUAGCACUGUCAAAUUUCAUUGGCCAGGACUCAGGCAGAUAAAUGUAAAGAAGCAAUUCUUUUGAGUUGAUGUUCUAGCAGCUAUCAGUCCGGUGAGUGGGCCAGGAAUAUCCGGUAAAGGUGCAUUGGAGUGGAAGCAUUUGAAUUGAAUUUUUAUAGGCGAGUACACAUUGGUGGGGUUGUAGCAUAAUUUGUAUGUUUAUUUUCAUUAUUAUUAUUAUUUUUGGCUAAAUAAAUAAGUUGAGAGCGAGAAGUAGAUCAGAUAGUGAGGUUCAGAAUCUCAUUCCGCAAAAUAAACAGGAAAAAAUGAGACCAGUGCUGUAAUUUUUUUUGUGUUCACUAGGUUCAAGAAAAUUUUGAAUAAUUUCAAUUUCAAUUUAUUUUGAGUUUGGAUCAUCUUCAAUAUGAAGUUUUCAGAUUUUAUUCUCGAAUUAUUUAGAUUCGUUUGAUUUUAGAUUUAAAUUAUUGAAUUUAAAAAUAAAUUAAUUUAAUUUUGAAAAAUUGUAUAUUAAUCUUUUCAGUGAUUUAGGUUGGAAUUAGUUUAAAUAUGAGUAAAUUUAAAUUUAAACAAAUUCAAAUUCAAAUUGAGCAUUAAGUUGUUAAAUAAUCUUAAUUAAAUUUGGUUGGGACGAAUUUUUCAAAUUUGGAUUUAGCUUUGUAUCUCCACCCAGAAGCCUUCCAAUGAGCUAGCUUAGCUCCUGCUAUGAGAAAGAGAAGUUUUUCAUGAAAAGGGUUUCAAUGCAAAUGGUGGUGUUGCUGAAAAGAUGAUCAGUUAGUUCCCCAUGGGAGAGAGUCUGAUAUAAAAUACAUAAAUAAGGUUAGACAAAGGGCAGAAUCACGGCCAUUUUGCAGAGAGGCGUUUGCCAGAAUAUGCCAACAUCACAUGUAGUCAUGGGAACAGGCUCCACUUAUUAAAAGGAAUCUUCUAAAUUUGUUAAUCGAAAGACCUAAUAAAUUCAUACAGAUUUUCAUAGGUUUAGGUUGUUUGGUUGCAGUAGUAAUUCAUGAUGCCAGUGCCAAGAAAUGGCAUCAGACCAAAAAGACCAGGCUCCAGCUCUGACAUUUAUGUUAAUGCAUUACAUUUUGUUUACAUAAAAUUAUUGCAUAUAUAAUGCUUUUGAAUUAAUUUUAUUGUUAUUAAAAAAAAAACCAGCUUUAUUGAAAGGCACAAUACAAGUAUACCUUGUAUCUUUAUGCAUGAAAUGAAACUAGCUUAAUUAUCAAUUCAUCAAAUGGGGAAAAAGCUAAAUUAAAUUACUUUCCAGAAUAAAUGAUAGAAUUAACUAAAUCACUGUGUGCAAGUGACAUCUUUUUAGUGCUUAUAUAUUAUUUAGAAGCAAUGCUAGCUAUUUGUACGUAUAUAUAUUUUUAUUUGGUUAAUAUCAUGAAUGACUUUUACAUUAUACAAAAUAUUAAAUGUAGUAUAUGAAUUUUAAAAAUUUUUAAUGUGAUAUAUAAACUCUAAAUCUAUUAACUAACAUGGUACUCACUUUUAACAUAACUAACAACUUCAAAUGAUAACACGAAAUAGACAAACUACUAUCCAAAUUUUACAUUAAUUUACAGAUUUAUAGUUUUUGUAUUAUAAUAGAGAUUUUUAAAAUUCAGAUAUUACAUUAGACAUUUUAUUAUAUAUAAUUUAUGAAUUAUUUAUAACAUUAAUCCUUUUUAUUUUUACUUGAAGUUUGUUUUGAAUCUCAUCCAUUCUCCCAAUACAAACAAAGUGCAUUUCAACACCCUAGAGUACUAAAUGCUCCAUAUGGGAUCUUUUUAUAUAUGAAAUCAUAUUACUUUUUUUAUUUUUUCAUUUUCCAAUAAUUUAUGCUUUUCUUAACUCAAAAUUGUCAUUUUACAUAUUUUGGUAAAAAACUUUGAGGCAGUUAAUAUAAUUAAUUCCAUAAUAAGGAUAUUUACUAGUAGCUAUUAGCAUUUUCAAAGUGUUCAUCAUAGUAUUUUUUUUUCUUCUUUUUCUACUUAUAUAUUGAUCAAUAAUUGUUUAACCUGAUAAUAAAUUUAUAUAUACAUAUAUAGACACGCAAGUAGACGCAUGCUCCAAGUAUUUUAAUAUGAACUUUAGUCAUAAUCCAACAGAUUAAAAAAAAUCAUUAUGGUUUUAGUUUUCUAAAUUCAAUCAUAAAACAGAAAAUUGACCUAUCUAACCUUUAGACACCAUGUAAGGACAGUAAGGUUGACGGUGGAUCCUUUUUCCCUUUUAUCUACAAAGCUAAUAAUUUUGAACAAGAACCUAACAAAACUCAUGUCAAUCAUUGUCCAUAAUCAAAACCCUCAACAAAAUUAAUAAUAUGUGCGUCAAUUUAUAUCAGAAAAAAGGGGCAUUAUUUUGGUUAUUCUUCAAAUUAUAUAUAUGGAAUCUGUCUUUCAAUUAUUCAUUAUUAUUAUUUGCCAUUUCUUUGGAAUCAUAAUUCCUAGUUGCCCAUAUUUCAUUCUAACUUGUUAUGAUGCCCUCUAAAAAUUUUGUCCAGGCAUUGAUGAAAUUAAAAAAUAUAUAUUCUGCAAAAAUGCGAUCCAUUAAAGAAAUGCUCCCACACAUUGAUUGGUGUGAACUGUGAAUUAUGUAUGGAUAGGAAUAGAUAUUUUGUUACACAGUUAACAGUGUAAAAGACAAUAAAAGCUCCUGUUGCCAUCAACACACACACCUCCACUAAGCUCUUAUCUUCAAUUUUCUAAGCUAUUUUUUUGUGAUUACAUUUUUUAUAAAAUAAAAGAAUAAAAUGUUUUUCUUAUUAAAAUCAACAUUAUUAGGAUGGUCCACAAUCUUAGAUAUUUAUCCAUUCACCUUGGACUGUAAGGCUGAUUUUUGGAUUGAUGAUAAAUGGAGAUUUUAAAAGUAUAAACCUAAUCAAAAUCCACAUAUGCAUGUAUCUUCGAUGGCAAGAGCUUGGAAAGUUAUGCUUUUUUGUUAUUUCUCAUGCCAAAAGCAAGUCUCAUCAUAUCUAUGUUAAUUAAUAUUGCAUAUUAAUUGCAAUUGCUUUAUCAAGAAAAAGAAAAAGGAAAGGAAAUGAUGGGCAGCUAAAGCUAUGGAUGGAAGAUGCCCUUCUGAAUUGAAUCAGAUAUUGCUUUUAAUUCACGUAUGUGAUUUACACACGCAUCCAUGCUUUGUCAGUGAAUCAUAAAAUCAAAUAUCUUCUUAAUGUCCUCGAUCAUUUAUAGUUUCCCAAAAUGACAAAUUAAUUAAUUGCUAUAUAUAAAUUUCUCUGGAUUGGGGAGUUUUUUGGCUUACUGGCUACGGAGUGUGGACUAAAAAAGUCCAUCAAUAUUAUUACAUGAGCUGCAUUCUGCAACAGUUUCAAGCAGAAAAUCCCCUAGUUAUAGCAUCAACAUCCAUUUUCUUUAACCCCUUAGCUAUCUUUUUGGCUUUCAGGUCACUCAACUGAUGAAUCAAAACCAGUCUACCAUCCAUGAUUUCCCGUUCAAGUUCUUUCUCAAUCUAAUCUCCUUUACCAGCUCUUGAACUCUUCUUCAGUGACAUGCAUUUUAAAAAUAUUCUUUCCUCUUUACACUCUUCUACGGAGAUUAAAAGGGUAUUGCCACAGCAACACUCGAGUAAUCAUGGUUGUUGUUUUCUCUGAGUUGAAUGCUAAGUUAGACCAAAUGAAAGUGCAGUCAUGUCAAAAAGGCGAUGACCUUGACACAAAUGAAGGUGGGUUUGGUUCUUUCAUGCCGAAAAAUGAGAAUAAUGAUUCG